rnacentral:lncRNA from 1 species
UUUUAGGUUAUUGAUAUGGGAGAAGACGAGUAUGAUCCACCCGUCAUCCUUGGAAGACCGUUCCUCAGCACCGUUAAAGCAAUCAUCUACAUUGGAAUCGGAGAAGUCCACAUGCACUUCCCCUCUGAGAAGGUACGCCACUAUUUUACUGACCCUAACUAUAUAGUUGAAGACUCUAAGCAGGUCAGGACAAGAAGAAGACAACGCAACCGCAACCAGAGGAGGCAAAAUCAUCAAGGACGGAUGGGUAGACUAUGAUGGAGAAGUUGUAAGGUCUGAAGACAUACAGCUUGAACAGAACUGUCGUGAGGAGACCAUAGCACCGAGUCAGGUGUGUAGACAGAAGAUAACUAUACACGAAGAGGAGGCGCCGCCGGAACCACCGACUACGCCAUCUAGCAAAUCCCAGGACAACUGAGAAAAUGAGAGUCCCAUUCGGAGGACUUAAAAACACCGAACGCCUUGCCAAGAGAAUUCAAAGAUCAAAGAAGACUAGCAGACGGAGGACAUCCUAAUCGCUGUCAGGGUGCUGCCGACAUUCAAAUACACCUCCGCCACCUGCUAGCUACAUCAGGAGAAACUACUUCAAAAUCCAACUAAGUGUUCUACUCACGUUUAUAUUAUACUCAAAUAAUAAAAAGGUGCAUAAUCAUAAAAACCCAAAUAAAGAUUUUGUGCUUAUAUAUACCUUUGCUUAGUUUGCUAAAUAAAUAAAUAAAUAAAGUUUGCUAUGAACCAUCAUGAUAAGCUCUCACAUAGAAAUGAUGAAUAGUUGCUCUGCCAUGACUAGUUCUCAAAACUGAAAUCUCUCUCAAGUUUAGGCAUGACUAUUAUUAAUUAAGAUUUGCUCUAAACCUGAACUUGUGGGGAGAGUACUUGAUCUAAAGUCUAAGUCGUUAACGGAUACGAUAUGGGAAGGUUGAGCUGCUGUUUAUCUAUUCCUAGAGAUGCUAGAAUUCUGGAGAAUUUUAUCUUUGAAAAAUCUUUAAAAUAACACAUGAUGAGUUCCUGUAUGACGAGAGUUUAAAUUCCUACCACAGCCAUAUAUACAUGCUUGCUAGACUUUGAGCCACACAUUUAUUUAUUUAUUACUGCUUAUGAGCAUUGAAUAUGGUCAAGCUGUGUAGACCCUUAGGAGCUUGUUAUGUGGUUUAAAUCAGGAUUCACUUGUACAUUCGCUCACACAUGCUACUUCUACUCCGGAAGUACCACCCACAUAUAUCCAUUUUCAUCUCCAGAACCACCCAAAAAUAUUCAACUCCUAAUGCGAGAGAGAAUAGCCAAAAAUAUUUCUGUUUUUCCCCUAUGAAAUAAACGCUCAAGUUAUCUUGGUUACUACCACUUGGUAUAUUAUUUCAGGAGAUGAGUGCUCUAAUAAAAAAAAGGAGAAAAAAGUAUAUGAGGAAAUAAAAAGGGGCAAGUGCCCGGAACCUCGAAAGAAAGGAAAAAGUGAGACGAGAGGUAAAAAUGGACAAGUGUCCGACAGUAGAAUUAGGGGUACAAGAUACCCACCUGAGAGAAAAGAAAGAGAAAAUAUAGAGCAUCUCAUUCUCCUCAAAAAGUUUCAAAAGAGCAAGAAAGGUAUGUAUCCCCUCAAAAGAGCACAAGUAGAAUUAGACUUUCACCAUUGUUAUCACCAUCAUCACCAUACACCAUUCAUUCGCCACACAUGCACAUCUCGAUUUGACUUAUUGACUUGUUCUUCUGGAUCCAUGGUUUGACUAUGCAAUAAAUGUCUUGUAUGUAUGUAUUAUCUGUCUCCCAUCUAUGAGCUCUAGAUAUCAAAAGCCUUAUUAGAGUAGGGUGAGAGAGAAGGCAAUGUCACUAUGCCUCAUACCAAAAAUACCACAUACUUUGAGAGAAGGUAUACACCAUUACUGCCUUGGUAAGGAUCCAAAAAUACCACAAAAGAGAGACUAGAGAGAGUCUUGCAAGGAAUCUCUGAGUUUUAUUUGAAAAUCUGCAAAAACUCCAGAGCUAUAGUUAAUCGAAGAACAAGAGACAUGGCGCUUGACUAGACCAUUCUAUCUUUUAACUGCUCAAGACACAGGUGACGGUUGCAAGCCCCAUGGUGAAAGGUAAUAUGACUAAGUUUAAAUCUUAACAGUUUACCCUAACCCAGAGAUGAGAUCUUAUUUGAACGCAUGUGUAUCUUUAAGGUAAAAUGUUUUGGCAAGCAACAUGAAUCCAAGAAAAUUUUAUUGAAAAUUUUUGUCAAAAGGGUUGUCAUCAAUUACCAAAAAGGGGGAGAUUGAAAGCCAUAGUUUGGUUUUGGAUAAUUUAUGAAACCUUAGUACUAACCUUAUACUAAGUGUGUGUAGACUUAAUGAGGUUGGUACAUGCCAAGUGAUGUAGCAAGAGAUGAUCAUUGUGAUGAUGGUGAUAACCACAAGAUGAUCAAGUGCUCAACUUGGAAAAGAAGAAAGAGAAAAACAAAACCCAAUGGAGAUCAAGGCAAAGGUAUUGCUUAGGGUUUCGGUUUUGGUGAUCAAGACACCAUAGAGGGUGUGAUCACAUUUAGGAUAGAUAGCCGUACCAUAAAGAUGGGAAUUCUUUGGCUAAGCGGUUAUCAAGUGCUACUAGGUGUCAUUGUUCAUGUGCAUGCAUUUAGAACCUAGUGAGCUAACAUAACUCCUUCGAAGAAAAUGAUUGUGAAAAUGCUAACACACUUGCACUUGUUGGUACACACUUGGUGGUUGUUGACACUGUUUUUGGACACGUAUCUUUUGAUGCGUACCUGGAGUUAAUAAAAAAUAGAUCGGCAGAUGAAGCAAUGGUAACUAGUCUACAGGGAAGUUGCCGAUAAAGGUGGUUGCCGAUGAAAAAGUAGUUGAAUGAGACUAAGUCCAGAGGUGGUGACGUGUUCGUGCCGAUGAUCAGUAUUAGUGUUUGCCGAUGGCCACAACAGGAGAUCUGCCGAUGACUCUGAAGGAAAGCGUGGAGAUUGCCGAUUGAUCUGUGGCGGUGCCCCGGUCGGUUACAAGGGGGUAGUUUUAUGUUUUCCUUAGUUACUAGAAUUCGUUUUGUGUACGGGUUCCGUUUAGUUUGGAAUUUGAGUCCUAGUCGUGUCUGGUUGUAGCUCUUUGGACAGGGUAUAAAUAUAGACCCGAGGGCAAUGUAAUGGGACAAUCUAUCAAUCAAUCAAACACAAGUUUUUACUCAUAUUCCAGCAUCUACUUUUUCAAUGACUUCGUCAUAUUUUAUUUUUACUACGAGUUCUUAGGGAUUCGUCGACUUAAGCUCGGCGUGUUCUCAAGUUCCGCGUGAUCACCUCUUGGCCGUGACAUCCGGGCGCAUCGCUGUUGUUGGGAUCAAAGUGGUCGAGUUACCACCUUUGUCGAUUGUAAGGUCAAAUCGGCUGGCACGCCUUAACGUUUGAAUCGGGUAUUAGCCCUUUGUGUUUGCAGAUUAGUUUUGCAUCAACACAUCUUUUGGCAUGCCCAGUGGGACAGAUUCAAGAUCAAGAUCGACAUGGCGAAUACCGAGUUCGAUCUGGAGAACGUCAUCCCUAUGACGGAAGCCAAUCUCAGAGAUGAGCAAAAGCAAGCUAUUGCAAAAGCUAUGGAGGACUACAAGCAGCAAUGUUUCAAAUCCUUCAGCAUCAAUAGGAGUGGCGAGGUGAUCUAGAAGGAAGCAUUGCCGGCACCUCGGCAGAUUACUUUUGAAGCCAAUCCUGGUAAACUUCAAGACAUGGUUGACAAUGCUAUUAACCGUGCCUUGAUUAAUCAAGCUGGUGUGCUAUCCAACACGGUUUUCAAUGUCGUGGCUAGAACUUUUAAGGAAGGACAAUUGCCAGCAAAUUAUGUGGGCCCUGCCUAUCAUCAGCCAGGAUCACCAAUGGACACAGCUCCAUCGGCUACUACGGCCGCUGCGGGUAUAAAAACUACUGCCUCUCCAAGCACAUUAGGACUCACUAAUGUGCAAUCUACGCCGAUGACAACCAAUCCAUCAACGUUGGAUGAGAAAAUCAAGCUUGCCUCAGAUCUAUUGGCAUCGACAAUGUCAGGAUCGGUUCCUCCUAAUUGGUGGGGUUACGGGAUGCCCCCUGAGAUGAUGUUGAAGACUCCUGGAACAUCUCCAGUGGCUGACUUGACAGGCAAGGCUCCUAUGGCAUCGGCACCUCCAAAUCUGCCGAUGAAUCAGAGUCCCCGGUAUACUACAACUACUACUGCAAGACCUUACGCCGGGAAUUCUCAAGCUCCAACGUUCCAGAUGUCUAACGCAUCGGCAGAUUCAAUGCCGACGCAACAGAGGUUUAUGACACAGCCAGGGUAUGUCAAUUCAAUGAUGAUGCCCAAUUACCAGUCAUCGGCAGGGCCUAUGCCGAUGAAUGCUAACAAUGGAUGGACAGGACAACUAGUCUUUCCACAGAUGCCUCAGCAGAAUCAUCAGGCUGUAGGGUUUCAACAAGGACAAAUCCAACCUGGGUUUCAAAAUCAAGGGUUGGUCAAUCAGCCGAUGAAUCUUGGUCAGCAGAUCGGUGGUCAGAUGGUUAACCCAAUGUUCCAUGCAGAUCGUGCACCUCAACGACACGUGGAAGUAUAUCAGCAGGUGCCAGAUCCACAACCGUCCCAUCGGCAAGAUGCCGAUGCUUAUUAGGCCGAUAAGAUAGCUGAAGUAAUGAGAGACCAGUUUGGGAUAAAACCCAAAGUCCAUAUUUACUCUUAUCGGACACCAUAUCCUCCCGCAUACGACCUGAUUCCACUUCCAAAUCAGUAUAAGGUACCAGAUUUCACUAAAUUUUCUGGACAGGAUGAUACAUCGACUAUGGAGCAUGUCAACAGGUUCAUUAUCCAAUGUGGGGAGGCUGCCAACAGAGACGAGUUAAGGGUUCGACUGUUCUCGUCAUCGUUGUCUAGAUGGGCGUUCACUUGGUUUAUUUCGUUACCUCCCAACUCAGUGAUCACUUGGGCUGAUCUAGAAAAGCAGUUCCACAAGUACUUCUUCUCUGGAGUUCAUGAGAAGAAAAUUACCGAUUUAGUCAGGUUGAAGCAGCGCAAUGAUGAAUCGGUUGAAAGCUUUGUGCAGAGGUUGCGGGAAGUCAAGAAUAAAUGUUAUAGCCUGGUUCUAGAUGAUCGGCAGCUUGCCGAUUUGGCUUUUCAGGGGUUGUUGCCACAUAUCAGAGACAAGUAUGCUUCUCAAGAGUUCGAAAGUCUGAGUCACUUGGUGCAAAGGAUUUCUGACCAAGAUAUUAAGCCUUUUGAACCCAAGAGAGCAUGGAACAAAAAGGUAUCAUUUGUCGAUGAAGCGGCAAGCUCAGAUUCUGAUGAGGAGCCAGUCAUCGGUUUAGCAGAAUGGGUGAAAAAUAAAAAGCCGAUGUCUUGGCCUUUUGGGCAUAAGGAGCCUGAGAAAUUUGCAUUUGACAUUACCAAGGCCGAUAGGAUAUUUGACUUUCUACUUCAGGAACGGCAAAUCAAAUUGUCGCCUAAUCAUGUGAUUCCAUCGGCCGAAGAAUUAAAAAAGAUGAAAUACUGCAAGGAGCACAAUGCAACCUCUCACAGCACCAAUGAGUGCAAGGUUUUUAGGCAACAGCUGCAAUCGGCUAUAGAAUCUGGGAGAAUCAAGUUUGAUAGUUCCAAAGCUCAGAAGCCGAUGAAGAUCGAUCAACAUCCUUUCCCAACAAACAUAUUGGAUGCUAAGGGAAAGACCAAGGUCUUGAUGUCAGACGCGGCUGAAAGAAGUGCAUCGGUGGAUCCUCAGCAUCAGAUCACUGCUGCCGAUGCUAAUGGAAAUGGUUUGAUCCAGGAAGGAAAUAGCUCAAGAAGGCCUCCUCGAUCUGGCAUUGUGAUAACUCAUAGAAGGCAUCGGGAGACUUGGUAGAAACGCGAGUAUCGGUAUCGGCGCCAGCAGGAAGAUUAUCGUCAGGAAGAAGAAAGACGCCGACAGGAGUGGAAUCAGCACAAGGAUCAUUGGAACUGCCCAUUCUUUAUCCAUUGCUGGGAACAGAACAUCAAAUUUCCCACUGUUUGGGAUUGCCCUGAAUGCAAUGGUUAUGAUCGGUAUGACAGAUCCAAUCGGCGCUAUCAAGAUAAUGAUCGGCGAUUUGAUGGGCCGAUUAGGGGGAGGACCUCAGUUCAUGAUCGGCUGGGGUGCAGGCUCAGUGUGCAUGAUAGGCUUGGUGAUCGUGUGGCGUAUUUUCCUAGGAACCAGGAAGAACAUGAAGAGAUGGCUAACGCACGGGUUCCCGAUGAGUUCAAAUUUUGUUGGGAUGCUAAUACUUAUCGGGUGGAGUCAAGGGAAAAUCGUCGCCCAUCGGCAAGGCAGCCACAGCUUCCUCCAUGGUGUCCAGAGGGGUUGACUUGGACAUAGAAAUGGCGGCUGCAGCGUGAAAGACGAGAAGAGCUAAACAAAGGCGAAAAUUCUAGCCAGUGUGGAGAACAGCAGCAACCGGAUCCUAAGGGAAAAGGGCCAUCGGCAGAUGUUAACAUGGUAUUUAUGUUGCCGAUGGAGUUCCUUGCGCCAUCCAGUGAUGAUGAGGAGCUGGAUUUUUCUGACCAGAUAGCUCAGUUGGCACUGGAUCCCAUGACGGCUAUCUUUGAAAAGCCUGCCGAUAAUGAAAGGCAGCAUCUUAAAGCUCUGUUCGUCAAAGGAAGAGUUUAUGGGCAGCCGAUGACCAAGAUAUUAAUUGAUGGUGGGGCUGCUAUUAAUAUCAUGCCAUAUGCAGUCUAUCAGAAACUUGGGAAAGGAGAUCAGGAUAUGACCAAGACCUAUAUGAUGCUAAAAGACUUUGAAGGAAAUGUGUCUCCGGUUAAAGGGGCAAUAUGUGUUGAGUUGACCAUCGGCAGCAAAACCUUGCCGACAACAUUCUUCAUGAUCAGUGGAAAAGGUGCCUACAAUCUGCUACUAGGGAGAGACUGGAUCUAUGCCAAUUGUUGCAUCCCAUCAACGAUGCACCAAUGCUUAGUCCAGUGGGUAGGUGACAAGAUUGAAAUUGUCCCGGGAGAUUCUUCUUAUGUCAUCGCUUCGGCGGAAGCAGACACCUAUGAAAGGACUAGGGUAUUUCAGGGGAGACUUGGGAGAAAGAUUUCCUCAAAGUUGUCGAUUAUGAAAUUCCACUAACCCAAGCAGUCAGUUCUGAUGAGGAUUUUUAAUGGAUAUGUUCGCCGAUGAUGGAAAAUUAGGCCAAGGGUUUACAUCGGCCGAUGAUUUAGUAGAGGUAGAUAUAGAUAAUGGAGAUGAGCCUAGACCUACAUUUAUUAGCACUAAGUUAAAUUCUAGGUGUAAGCAACAGUUAACCGAUUUGUAAAAGGAAUAUAAAGAUUGCUUUGCUUGGGAUUAUACUGAGAUGUCUGGUUUAGACCGAUCAAUUGUUGAACAUCGGUUACCUAUCAAGUCUGGAUUUCGACCACAUCAACAGCCAGCUCGUCGAUGUAAUCCUAAUAUUCUUCCUGAUAUUAAGGCCGAAAUAACCAAACUCAUCGAAGCUAAAUUUAUUCGGCAAUGUUGGUAUGCCGAGUGGAUUUCCAAUGUUGUUCCAGUUUACAAGAAGAAUGGGAAGCUUCGAGUUUGCAUUGAUUUCAGGAAUCUCAAUAAAGCUACACCGAUGGAUGGUUACCCAAUGUCUGUUGCCGAUUUACUAGUUGAUGCUGCGGCUGGACAUCGGAUCAUAAGCUUUAUGGAUGGCAAUGCAGGAUAUAAUCAGUUAUUCAUGGCUGAAGAAGAUAUUCCAAAGACUGUGUUUAGGUGUCCUGGUCAUGUUGGAUUGUUCGAGUGGAUAGUCAUGACCUUUGGCUUGAAAAACGCUGGUGCUACCUAUCAGAGGGCUAUGAAUUUUAUCUUUCAUGAGUUCAUUGGCAAGCUAGUGGAAAUUUAUAUUGAUGAUGUGGUGGUUAAGUCUGGAGAUUUCACAAGGCAUCUUGCCGAUCUGCGAAAAGUGUUAGAAUGUACAAGGAAACAUGGUCUAAAGAUGAACCCUAACAAGUGUGCAUUCGGCGUAUCGGCAGGGCAAUUUCUUGGUUUCAUGGUGCAUCAAAGGGGAAUUGAAAUUAGUAGGAGAUCUAUUGAUGCUAUCAAUAAAAUAGUGGCUCCUACCAACAAAACUGAGCUCCAAUCUCUGAUCGGCAAAAUAAACUUCAUCAGGCGUUUUAUCUCUAAUUUGUUUGGUAAAAUUCGUGCUUUUAGUCCUUUACUUAAAUUAAAAGCCGAUCAGGAGUUUAUAUGGGGGAAAGAGCAACAGUUGGCUCUAGAUGAAAUCAAAAAUUAUUUGACAAAUCCUCCAGUCUUAGUUCCACCUCAGCAAGGAAAGCCUUUCAGGUUAUAUUUGUCUACCGAUGGGAUAGUCAUCGGUUCGGCUUUGAUUCAAGAAUUUCAAGGGAAGGAGCGUGUGAUUUACUAUUUAAGUAGAAGAUUGAUUGAUGCCGAGACCAGGUAUUCGGCCAUUAAAAAAUUAUGUUUAUGCCUGUAUUUCUCAUGCAUUAAGUUGAGGCACUAUUUGUUAUCGGCCGAAUGCACUGUUAUAUGCAAAUAUGACGUGGUCCGAUAUAUGCUAUCCAUGCCGAUUAUGAGUGGCAGAAUCGGUAAGUGGAUUUUGGCACUGUCGGAAUUCGAUCUGCGGUACGAAUCGGCUAAGACGGUUAAAGGGCAGAUUAUGGCCGAUUUUGUGACUCAACAUCGCGGUGCAGUGGAGACUUUGGAAAUUGUACCUUGGACGCUCUUCUUUGAUGGAUCCACUUGUGACCGGGGGGCAGGGAUCGGCAUAGUGUUAGUUUCCCCUCAGGGAAGGAAAUAUGAGUUCUCUUUGCCGAUUGUUGCCACGUCAACAAAUAAUCAAGCCGAGUAUCAAGCUUUAAUCAAAGGGUUGGAGUUAUUGAAAGAAGUUCAUGCUGAUGUUGUUGAAAUCUUCGGGGAUUCUAUGCUGGUUAUAAAUCAAUUGGCUGGGAGCUAUGAAUGCCGAAGCGAAGUCCUGAUAACUUCUUACGAAAAGAGUAUGCAACUGUUAAGGGAAUUCAAAGAUUUCCGAUUAGAGCAUGUUCCCAGCAUGCCUCGGGAUAUCAACCAAUACUGAAUACGUUAUCGGCAAUAAAUGCCGAUGAUUGGAGAAAAGAAAUCAUUGAUUAUUUAAAGGAUCCAUCUAAGAAGGUUGAGAGGCGUGUUCGGUUUCAAGCUACCAAGUAUGUGCUCCUCGAGGAUAAAUUAUAUUAUCGAACAAUCGAUGGAGUUCUUCUUAAGUGCUUAAGUGAUGAUGAAGCUAAAAGUUUGAUGGGAGAAAUCCAUGAAAGAGUGUGUGGAGCACAUCAGUCGGCCUUUAAGAUGAAGUGGAUGAUUAGGAGGAACGGGUAUUAUUGGCCUACCAUACUUGAAGAUUGUUUUAAAUAUUUCAAGGGAUGUCAAGGAUGUCAGGAAUUUGGUAAUGUUCAGAGGGCACCCGCAUCGGCCAUGAAUCCUAUUAUUAAACCUUGGCCAUUUCGGGGAUGGGCUAUCGAUCUAAUCGGCCAAAUUUACCCACCAUCAAGCAAGGGCAUAAGUUUAUCUUGGUUGCCACCGAUUAUUUCACCAAGUGGGUUGAAGCUAUUCCUUUGAAGAAAGUCACAUCGGCCAAUAUGAUUGAUUUUGUGAAAGAGCAUAUUAUUUAUCGAUUUGGUAUUCCUCAAACAAUUACUAUCGAUCAGGGUACCAUGUUCACAUCGGGAGAGUUUGAUGAAUUUGCAAUCGGUAUGGGAAUUAAAGUGUUGAAUUCUUCUCCUUAUUAUGCUCAAGCCAAUGGGCAGGCUAAAGCAUCUAACAAAGGAAUUAUUAAGCUUAUCAAGCGGAAGAUUGAAGAAAAUCCUAGGAAGUGGCAUACGUUGUUAAAUGAAGCUUUAUGGUCAUAUCGGAUGACUUGUCAUGGGUCAAUCAAAGUUUCACCUUAUCAGUUGGUGUAUGGACACGAUGCUGUGUUGUCGUGGGAGAUUAAGACCGGAUCUAGACGACUAUCUUUUCAAGAUCAGCUGACUGCCGAUGACUAUGCAGGGCAUCGGUUGAGGGCUUUGAUGAAUAUAGAAGAAAAUAAAAGAGAGUUGCCACAUGGUAUGAUAAAAAGGUAAAGACUAAGGAAUUUGCCAAUGGAGACUUAGUAUGGAAACCAAUCUUACCGAUCGGGACUAAAACUUCAAAAUUUGGGAAGUGGUCUCCCAAUUGGGAGGGUCCCUAUCGGAUAAAUCGAUCUGCUCCUGGUAAUGCCUAUAUUUUAGAAACUCUCGAAGGAGUUGAAUUUCCCAGGGGGUUGAAUGGCAAGUACUUAAAGAAAUAUUAUCCUAGCAUGUGGAUUGAUGCAUGAGAAGUUUAAGUGCCGAUAACAUUCCUAUCGGCUGGAUCAAAGUGUAUCUAGGGCCGGACUCAAUGUUUUAAAAGGGGGCCGAUAACAGUCCUAGCGGCUAGACCAAAAUAAACAGGAGUUUUUAAAAAGAGAAGAACAAGACAUGCCACCGAUGAAGAGUUCACAUGUUUAGCAGAGCCUGGAUUGCCGAUAUGGCGCACAGACGAAUUUGAUCGGCUUCUAUCUCCUUCAUGUCUUCAUCGGGAGAGCCCUCUACUGGCCUCAGCUUCUUCUUCAUUUGCAGUGCCUUGCGAGCUUGAAUGUUUCGCUCUUGUUCGAGAGUCUUGAUCACUUCAGGUAGCUGGCUUUCUUCCUGUUGAGCUUGGGAUAGAGCUUCUUCCACUUGUUUAAGUUCUGCCAACAGGGCAUCUCUUUUCGCCGAUUGUGGCAGAACCCCCUAAGUGUUUGGGCCCACCGGCACCUGUCAUUGUCCUAAGGACCUCUGACGGCGAUGCCGGGGAUCCUCUCACUUUAGAAGUCCGAUGAGCAUCGUUGGAUGCUCAUUCCACUGCUACCUGCGGCGUGCCAAGCCGGCUCGUCCUGACCACUGGUGAUGGUCAAUUAACGAGAACUUCUUCUUCUCGCCCUUACACGAUAGCAAGUGGCCACCUUAACACCAGGAUCAUUCGUUGUGAAGACAUUGCAGAACCACAAACGGCAUACGACCAAAAUAAUAUUUCAGAGUAAAACAGCGGAAGUAUUACAUAACUUAUUUUACAAAAGGAGUUCUUCCAAAUAGCAGAGUGUUAUUACAAACCAGGUCCAGUGGAGCAACUUAAACUUUAGUACCGAGAUUACAAAUUUACAGACCCUGCCCAUGGGUCACGCUCACUCUUCUUCGUCGUCAACCUCGACGACAGUCACACAACAGGGUCCGAAACAAGUCGGCUCCUGAGAAUCACCUGCAACAGGGGGUUGGAAAACCCUGAGUACGGGAGUACUCAACAAGACUUACCCGGUGGAAAAAGAGGAGAACUUAGGAAUGCAGGCUUAGGGUAAACAAGGAGUGGCUGAGCAAGGAGCCAAAGUGUUUUGCUAAAAAGCUUACUAAUAGUGCAUCCUUACUUUCAAGUUUUACCUGUGAAUUCCUCUCCCAUCGAGGCCGAGGAGUUCGAGGACAGUCUACCUAGUUGUUUCCCCACAGACGAGUCUGUGAGUUUCUAGUCCUAAAAUAAAGUAUUAUUUAUUCGAUGGCCAUAGCUUCAUGUCGCUAUGAGUCCGGGAAUUGGGAUCCGAACCUCAUGAGACAUUUCCCCUUUCUCAUUUUACCAAUUAGUUGCAUAAUUAACUACGAUGAGGGGCAGUGGAUUGAGUCUCCCAAUCGGGGAGCAACGACGAUUCGAACCGCUUAGCAAUCCAGCUGGAGUUCCUAACCACCCAACAUAUGUAGAACCAAAACUUGCAUAUGUCAACCCAAAUCAAGCUCUCCCGAAAUUUGACCAGGUUCGCGGCACCUGAGAGCACAGUACUCCACCGUCCUACAGCCGAUCUAGAUGUUUUCCGGUCAUCCCAGAUCCGUAAGGUGGGUACACACUACUCUCGCCAUCUUUCCACUCCCAGUGCGCGAGUAGCUGUUCGCGUCGAGGGAUCACAAGACCGGGCUUACCGAGGGCAAGUGGCUAGUACUAUAAAUUCUCAACCCAGCGGGCCAUCAACGGACCGGUCCUUAACCGACACAGUUGGAGACACUACUUUAAGACUCCAUUCUUAAAGCAAGUCCACCGACCGGUCUCAGAUUAAAACAUCAUUGAUCAUAAAUGUAUUCCACAACAACCCUUCAAACUUUCUUAUUUGAAAACCUAUCUAGUAGCAGGGCUAAGCAUCACUACGCAGUUUUAAAAUGAACAGGUGUCAAGGACAGGAUAACAGAUAUCAAGGUAGUAAAUGCAGCAAGUAGGUUAACCCAAUUAUCAACUAGCUAAUGCAGCAUUUUCAAUUCAUAAGUGAUAAAAGAUUUAAAACAUUCAAGGAGGGGUUAAUGCAUCCGGGGCUUGCCUUGGUUGCAGGGCAGAGAGGGACCCUCGGAGACUUCCCAAGUCUCGGAUCCGACUUCCUCGAACGGAGCACCGACCUCGGGGUUUGGUUCAACGGGCGCUCCUUCGGUCACGGAUACUAUACGCAAAAUGAUGAAUGCUCAUGAUAUGUGUAUGACAAUUAUGCAAGAAGGAUUAAGUCGAGUACAACUUGCCUUCUUGGUGCAAUACAGAAUAAACCACAAAUAAAAUUGUUUUUACCCAAGAGGUUGCGUCUAUAACCUAAGACUUCUUUUAAUCUAUAAUUAUCUUAAAUUAACUAAUAAUUAAUCCUUUUAUCUUAAUUAAGUCUUAAUUAAUUACUAAUGACAGCAAUUAAGCAUUAAGGCCAAACAAUAAUUAAAUGCCAAGGGUCAUUAGGGUUAAUGACCUCAAGUCAUCACAAAAUCCCAAAAUCACUCAAACCCUAAUGAUGAGGAUUUUACUAAUUAUUGUUUAAUUAUUUUGGAAUUAUUACUUAAGUACUAAAUAAGGGUUUAUUAAUAUUUUAAUCAAACAUUAUCCAAAUGCCACCAAAUUUUGUGUGGAGCCAGGGAAUAAUAUUCAGAGGCUCCCCACAAUUUUUGGUGAUUUUUGGACAUCCUAAUAAAUUACUAAAAUUCCUAGAAGUUUUAUUCACUAAUUAAAGAGCCAAUUUUUAUAGACAUGCAAACUACCAGAAAGCAAGAAGCUGGGGAAGAUUACUCAAUUAUAAACAUAUGUGUACACAAAGUACAUGGCUUUGGCUACUCUUUUUCUCCACUAGAGUACACUUCUUAUAUAUCAGUUGUUGUCCUGAAGAGAAGCGUGGAACUCAGGGAAAUUCUCCAUCAGGUAAUCUUCAGAUUCCCACGUGGCUUCUUCUUCAGAGUGCUGGCUCCACUGUAUCUUGUACCACUUGGUAGUUGUUCUUCGAGUAACUCUAUUUCUUUGAUCCAGUACUUGGAUAGGAUAUUCCGAAUAAGUUAGAUCUGGUUCAAGUUCUACAUCUUCAAUAUCUUGAACUUGGUCUGGUACCCGAAGACACUUCUUCAGUUGAGACACAUGGAACACAUUAUGUACCCCGGAUAAUCGUUCGGGCAGUUUAAGGCGGUAAGCUACCUAUCCACAUCGGUCAAUAAUUGGAAAUGGACCAAUGUAACGGGGCGCUAACUUGCCUUUAACACCAAAACGAUUUACUCCUCUCAUUGGGGAUACUUUCAAAUACACAUGAUCACCUUUGGUGAACUUUAACGGUCGACGCCUUUUAUCGGCAUAACUCUUCUGUCGGGACUGAGCAACCUUCAAGUUAUUUUGGAUUUGUCGUACUUUGUUCUCAGUCUCUUUCACUAAGUCAACCCCGAAGAACCAUCUUUCUCCGGGUUCCGACCAGUGUAGCGGAGUUCGACAUCGACGUCCAUAUAGUGCCUCAAAGGGAGCCAUCUUGAUGCUCUCUUGGUAGCUAUUGUUGUAAGAAAACUCUGCCAGAGGCAAACAGUCAUCCCACUUAUCUGGAAAAUUCAGGGCACAAGUUCUUAAUAGAUCUUCUAGAGUUUGAUUCACCCUUUCAGUCUGCCCACCUGUUUGAGGGUGGUAGGCUGUGCUGUACAAAAGUUUAGUGCCCAAGGACUCGUGUAAACAUUUCCAGAAUUGGGAGACAAAUUGUGUGCCUCGAUCCGACACUAUUGUCUUUGGCACCCCAUGCAGACUUAGGAUACGAUCAAAAUAGACCUGAGCAUAGGUGGAAGUAUGAUACGAUUUCUUUACAGGUAAAAAGUGUGCUGUUUUGGUGAGACGAUCUACGAUGACCCAAAUUGAAUCAAAGCCUUUGGCUGUCUUGGGCAACCCCACUAUGAAAUCCAUACUAAUAUCAUCCCAUUUCCAUGCGGGGAUAGGCAAAGGUUGCAACUCCCCAGCGGACUUGAGAUGAAUAGCUUUGACCUUUCGACAGGUGUCACAUUGGGCCACAUAGCGAGCUAUCUCUAUCUUCAUUUUUGUCCACCAAAACCUUUGCUUUAAGUCCUGAUACAUCUUAUUGCUUCCCGGAUGAAUAGAAUACCUCGUGGUAUGAGCUUCCUCCAGGAUUCGUUGACGUAGCUCAGGUACCUUUGGAACCACUAACCGGUUCUUGAACCAGAUUACUCCCGCAUCAUCCACCUUAAAGUCUGUGGGUGCUCUAUUAGAAAUCUUCUCUUUAAGAUGUUUCAUGCCUUUGUCUACUUUUUGUGCCUCUAUGAUUUGAGCUUCGAGAUUGAAAUCAAUCUUUAGAUUGGCAAGGCUUCCCUGGGAAAUCAUUUCUAUCCCCAAGUUCUCUAGCUCUUGGCACAAAGUUAUAUCCCUAGGCGUCACUGUUAAGCAAUUACAGUGAGCCUUACGACUGAGGGCAUCAGCUACUACAUUUGCCUUACCAGGGUGAUAAUGCACCUCAAGGUCGUAAUCUUUAAUUAAUUCUAGCCACCUUCGCUGGCGUAUAUUAAGCUCAGCUUGAGUAAAGAUAUACUUCAAGCUUUUGUGAUCGGUGUAUAGAUGACAUGUGUUCCCCAACAGAUAAUGACGCCAGAUCUUUAAUGCAUGUACCACGGCGGCUAGUUCUAGAUCAUGGGUCGGGUAAUUCUCUUCAUGUGGUUUGAGCUGUCUGGAAGCAUAGGCAAUUACACGACCCUCCUGCAUUAGCACGCAGCCUAUCCCUAUCCCUGAUGCGUCACAAUACACAUCAAAGGGUUUUUCAAUGUCUGGCUGGGCUAAGACAGGUGCAGUUGUCAAUAAUCUUUUCAGAGUCUGAAAGGCUUGCUCACAUUGAGGUGACCAAACAAAUUUUGUUUGAUUUUUGAGCAAGGUCGUGAUUGGUUUGGCGACUCUUGAAAAGUCCAGGAUAAAACGACGGUAAUAUCCCGCCAUACCCAGAAAACUACGGACCUCAUGUACCGUAGUCGGGGGUUUCCAAUUCAACACAUCUUCUACCCUGCCUGGGUCUACAGCGACUCCCUCCACUGAUAACACGUGACCCAGGAAAUGGACUUUGUCCAGCCAGAACUCACAUUUGCUGAACUUGGCAUAUAGUUGAUGCUCCCUAAGACGGGUUAGCACGAUUCGCAAAUGUUCAGCAUGUCCUUUCUUAGUCUUGGAAUAGAUUAAGAUGUCAUCAAUAAAGACGACCACAAAUUUGUCUAGUUCUGGCAUGAAGACAGAGUUCAUCAGGUACAUGAAAUGGGCCGGUGCGUUGGUCAACCCAAAGGACAUCACCAAGUAUUCAUACAGCCCGUAACGGGUUGUAAAAGCUGUCUUGGGCACAUCCUCCGGCCUAAUUUUAAUUUGGUGGUACCCUGAUCUCAAAUCAAUUUUUGAGAACACUUUAGCCCCGGCCAACUGGUCGAAUAGUAAGUCAAUACGGGGCAAUGGGUACUUGUUCUUAAUCGUCACCUCAUUUAGGGGACGAUAGUCGACACACAGCCUUAAUGUUUGAUCUUUCUUUUUCACAAACAAGGCUGGGCAACCCCAUGGAGAAGAACUGGGCUGAAUAAAACCUUUAUGCAACAGCUCUUGUAAUUGGGUUUUUAAUUCGGCCAGCUCUUUCGGUGCCAUUCUGUAGGCCCUUCGAGAUAUUGGGGUUGUCCCUGGUUUCAAUUCUAUACUGAAUUGUACAUCCCGGUCCGGAGGCAGACCUGGUAGGUCUUCAGGAAAUACAUCCGGAAAAUCUCGAACUACCGGGAUUUAUUUAACUGCCGACACAUUAGUGGCAUGAACUUGCCCAAUUGUCCGCUUGGGAGUGGCUAACUGGAUUAGGAGAUAAGAUUUCUCACUGGGCAAUGGGAUUUUAAUGGUUCGAUGCAAAGUAUCUAGCACAACCCCUCGUUGUGCCAUCCAGUUCAUGCCUAGUAUGACAUCAAUCUCCUGGUCUUUAAGAACAAUCAUACUAGUGGGAAAAUUAUGCCCACCAAAUUCGAUGGGUAUCUGGUGAACCAUUUCUUUAGAACUCAGUCGUCCUCCUGGCGACUGUAUAUAAAAAUGAUCUUGUGUUUCCCCAAUGGUAUGCCAUGCUUUAACACAAAGGUGCGAUUGAUGAAUGGAUGAGAUGCACCAGAAUCGAAAAGCAUUAAAGCAGGAUGUUUCGCGACAGGAAACGUACCCAUCAUUACUGGUUCACCCUCCGGGAUCGUCUCCACCUCCGUAUGGAAGACUUGUCCCACUUUCUUCGCUGGUUUUCCACUUUGCACAGGUUGUCCUUUCUGAAUCCCAGUCCUGAAUUGACCCGGCUGGGGUUGACCCAUAGGUGGCCUUUGGAAGGUAGGGUUGGUUUGGCGGGGGAAAGGGCACUCUUUAGAGAAAUGCCCAGGCUUACCACAAUUGAAACAAGGGUAAUUGUGGCUGGGCGGAGCAGUGGGGCGAACACCUGGGGCGUUCGGCUGGCGUGGUGCAAGAGCGAUGGCAGUAGGUCGAGGGUAUACCUGCUGCCCUGGUCUAUACUGUGGAGGGGAGAAAGGACCACGAUAAGGUGACGGCGCUUGGAAACGUCCGUGGCCCUGCGGAUGAUAAAUGAUUCUCUGGCGCUUUUGGCCGCGACCAGAGAAGGAGGAAAAAGCAGCCUUCUUCUUGGCUUCUUUAUGCUUUCUAUUCUUUUCCUCGGAGGCGAUGGCAAUAUUUACCGCCUCAUAGAAGGUAGCAUUUUGGCAGGUGGUCAUCAUGGUCUGAAGUUUAGUAUUUAGACCACGCAUGAAGCAAGCUUUCUUUUUUCUGUCAGUGUUCACAUGGUCUGUGUCAUAUUGAGAGAGAUGAUUAAACUUUGCCACGUAUUCCAUGACACUUUUGUCGCCCUGCUGCAAGGCGAGAAACUCUUCGGCCUUCAUGGCCAUGAGCCCUUCAGGAAUAUAAUGGGCGCGGAACGCGUCCUUGAACUCGGUCCAGGUGACCUGGUGUCCCGGAGCUUGGAUAGCUAGGAAGUUCUCCCACCAGGCACCUGCAGCUCCCCGAAGCUGCUGAGCUGCAAACAGGGGCUUCUGAGUUUCUGAACACUGAAUCAAACUGAACUUGUGCUCCAUGGUCCGGAGCCAGUCAUCCGCUUCUAAAGGCUCAUCGGCCUUAGUGAAAACCGGGGGCCUUGUCUCGGUAAAGUCCACGUACCGAGCUUCUCCGUCCCCAUUGUGUUGUGCCCUGAAGUUUGGGGCAGGGUGUGGUUGACGUUGUGCUAGCUCGCGCAGUAAGCGAGCGUUGUCGGUAGUGGCAUUCAACAAAACAGCAAUGGCCUCGGCCAGAGAAGGUGGACCAGGUGGAGGGUUGGGGAUAUCAUCCCCUCCCUGAGAUGUCCCAGCUCCAUCAGAUCCGCGUGUACGCAUCGGCAUCUGCUACAAGAAUCAUAGGUACUUGUCAUCACAUGAACUUCAUAACGUAGAACAUAUCUUACAUUCUUCCAUUUAUUCAUUAAACAUUAAUUCAACACACCAGGAACAAACAAGUACAACUUCUCAAACCAAAAGAAAACUUAUAUUACAAACCCGACCCCACUACGGCAAGCUAGGACUCCUACAACGACGUUGCCCGCGGUUCCACCGAACUAAUCGGUGUGGCCAGAGCUGUAGCCCGGGUCGUCAUUGCCAUCAUCCUGAUUACCCCCUGGGUUGUUGUCAUCAGGGUCGGACUCCUCUUCAUCACUGAGGCCUGGAUCGGGUUCCCCAUCGUCUGCCAACUCGCCAUCCGUAUCCAUCUCUCCUUCGCCUGGAGGUGGGUGGAGCUGAUGAUACAGGUCAAAUGCAAUAUCACGAUAUUGCAUUGCCAAGUCAUUGACGGUAUCUAAGUGAUGUGCCAGCUCCAGCUUCUCUAACUGGAGCUGGUCCUCACGCUGCCACGCGACAUCCCGCUGCGCGGUGACCGUGGUCGCCAUCUUCACGUACAAAUCCUUAAGAUACCUGGCCUUGCCCAGCUUCGCAUUCAUCCUAGUCAGCUCAUGCCUGUGUGUGCUCCUAGCUUCUUCCUCUCGGGCAAUGGCGGCAUUCCUCUCCUCCACCAUACGGGACAACACGGCCUCAUAGUUCUCCGUAGCUUGUUUUUCUUUGGCUAGUUGAGUUUUGAGUUUGCCGAUCUCCAUAACAUUGUACAUUCUUUCUCUCAUCACCUCAGUCAACUCGGCGGACAACCUGUCCACCUCCAGCUGAGGCGGUGAACGGCUACUACUGGCUUGAUCGCUGCGCGGAGCCAGCUGAUGUCGGGGAACUCCUUUUGGACCUGUCCUCUUACGCGGGGUCUGCUUCUGACGAGCCAUCCUGUGGAGGGUAAGUUUAGAUUAGUAAGAGAGACCUUAAAGGUUAGCAAGAAUGGGAUUGAUUCUAUUCACCCAACCCAACAAGUAGGAAGGAACUUAACCAGUUAAUACAUCAUGAUGCAUGCACGAACUUACGAUUCCUACCAACGAUUUGCAACGAUAUUACUUUAAAUUUUUACAACAUAGGGCAAUACUCUAUGUUGCUCCUCCAAACCACUUCAAAAAAUUCUAAGGAAGCCUAUAGAUAGGGUAAGUAAGGACUAAGCACUUGGACUCAAAGUAGACCAGUUUAUAGUAUUGGAUCCAAAGGAAUUUUGAAGUCUUUCAAGAGGUUCAGCAGUCAUCUUAGCAACGAAUGCUCUGAUACCAGCUGUGGCAGAACCCCCUAAGUGUUUGGGCCCACCGGCACCUGUCAUUGUCCUAAGGACCUCUGACGGCGAUGCUGGGGAUCCUCCCACUUUAGAAGUCCGAUGAGCAUCGCUGGAUGCUCAUUCCACUGCUACCUGUGGCGUGCCAAGCCGGCUCGUCCUGACCACUGGUGAUGGUCAAUUAACGAGAACUUCUUCUUCUCGCCCUUACAGGAUAGCAAGUGGCCACCUUAACACCAGGAUCAUUCGUUGCGAAGACAUUGCAGAACCACAAACGGCAUACGACCAAAUAAUAUUUCAGAGUAAAACAGCGGAAGUAUUACAUAACUUAUUUUACAAAAGGAGUUCUUCCAAAUAGUAGAGUGUUAUUACAAACCAGGUCCAGCGGAGCAACUUAAACUUUAGUACCGAGAUUACAAAUUUACAGACCCUGCCCAUGGGUCACGCUCACUCUUCUUCGUCGUCAACCUCGACGACAGUCACACAACACGGUCCGAAACAAGUCGGCUCCUGAGAAUCACCUGCAACAGGGGGUUGGAAAACCCUGAGUACGGGAGUACUCAACAAGACUUACCCGGUGGAAAAAGAGGAGAACUUAGGAAUGCAGGCUUAGGGUAAACAAGGAGUGGCUGAGCAAGGAGCCAAAGUGUUUUGCUAAAAAGCUUACUAAUAGUGCAUCCUUACUUUCAAGUUUUACCUGCGAAUUCCUCUCCCGUCGAGGCCGAGGAGUUCGAGGACAGUCUACCUUGUUGUUUCCCCACAGACGAGUCUGUGAGUUUCUAGUCCUAAAAUAAAGUAUUAUUUAUUCGAUGGCCAUAGCUUCAUGUCGCUAUGAGUCCGGGAAUUGGGAUCCGAACCUCAUGAGACAUUUCCCCUUUCUCAUUUUACCAAUUAGUUGCAUAAUUAACUACGAUGAGGGGCAGUGGAUUGAGUCUCCCAAUUGGGGAGCAACGACGAUUCGAACCGCUUAGCAAUCCAGCUGGAGUUCCUAACCACCCGACAUAUGUAGAACCAAAACUUGCAUAUGUCAACCCAAAUCAAGCUCUCCCCAAAUUUGACCAGGUUCGCGGCACCCGAGAGCACAGUACUCCACCGUCCUACAGCCGAUCUAGAUGUUUUCUGGUCAUCCCAGAUCCGAAAGGUGGGUACACACUACUCUCGCCAUCUUUCCACUCCCAGUGCACGAGUAGCUGUUCGCGUCGAGGGAUCACAGGACCGGGCUUACCGAGGGCAAGUGGCUAGUACUAUAAAUUCUCAACCCAGCGGGCCAUCAACGGACCAGUCCUUAACCGACACAGUUGGAGACACUACUUUAAGGCUCCAUUCUUAAAGCAAGUCCACCGACCGGUCUCAGAUUAAAACAUCAUUGAUCAUAAAUGUAUUCCACAACAACCCUUCAAACUUUCUUAUUUGAAAACCUAUCUAGUAGCAGGGCUAAGCAUCACUACGCAGUUUUAAAAUGAACAGGUGUCAAGGACAGGAUAACAGAUAUCAAGGUAGUAAAUGCAGCAAGUAGGUUAACCCAAUUAUCAACUAACUAAUGCAGCAUUUUCAAUUCAUAAGUGAUAAAAGAUUUAAAACAUUCAAGGAGGGGUUAAUGCAUCCGGGGCUUGCCUUGGUUGCAGGGCAGAGAGGGACCCUCGGAGACUUCCCAAGUCUCGGAUCCGACUUCCUCGAACGGAGCACCGACCUCGGGGUUUGGUUCAACGGGCGCUCCUUCGGUCACGGAUACUAUACGCAAAAUGAUGAAUGCUCAUGAUAUGCGUAUGACAAUUAUGCAAGAAGGAUUAAGUCGAGUACAACUUGCCUUCUUGGUGCAAUACAGAAUAAACCACAAAUAAAAUUGUUUUUACCCAAGAGGUUGCAUCUAUAACCUAAGACUUCUUUUAAUUUGUAAUUAUCUUAAAUUAACUAAUAAUUAAUCCUUUUAUCUUAAUUAAUUCUUAAUUAAUUACUAAUGACAGCAAUUAAGCAUUAAGGCCAAACAAUAAUUAAAUGCCAAGGGUCAUUAGGGUUAAUGACCUCAGGUCAUCACAAAAUCCCAAAAUCACUCAAACCCUAAUGAUGAGGAUUUUACUAAUUAUUGUUUAAUUAUUUUGGAAUUAUUACUUAAGUACUAAAUAAGGGUUUAUUAAUAUUUUAACCAAACAUUAUGCAAAUGCCACCAAAUUUUGUGUGGAGCGAGGGAAUAAUAUUCAGAGGCUCCCCACAAUUUUUGGUGAUUUUUGGACAUGCUAAUAAAUUACUAAAAUUCCUAGAAGUUUUAUUCACUAAUUAAAGAGCCAAUUUUUAUAGACAUGCAAACUACCAGAAAAACAAUACCUAGUAUUUUUCUUAUGCUCUAAACAUUUUAUGGAAGCUAUACAAAAAUUCUCAUGAUUUUUGGAUCAGCACAGAAUUUACUAUUUGAAAUCAAACAUCAAACACUUUUAAACAAAAAGGAAAAAGAAAAAGGGCACUGUGCGCUGGGGCCUGCUUGGACGCGGCCCACUCUGGCCCGAGCGCUCGGUCCGAGCGGAUGGCGCGCGCUGCCCCCUCCCCUCACGCGGACACUGACGGGCGGGUCCCGCCCGUCAGUUCCGUCUUCUUCCUCGCGCCGCACUGCUCCGGCGAUCGCCCAGCGCCGAUGAGCCCUCCCCAGCGCUAACCAAUUGCUCCACUAGGUUCGCCGCGACCCCCUGAGCGGCCUAGCAUGCUCAACAUGGUCACGAGGAGCUCCUGAGCCACCCGGCCAUGGCUCCGGCGGCCGGAAGCAGCUCGGUGCAGAACCUCGAGCAUCCAGAGCUGGUAGAGAGCGAGGGAAAGGGCGUAGGAGUACCAAGAGCUCACCGCGACUUCGGCAAGGUAGCAAGCGAUGGCUGAGGAGCCCUGAGAUGAGCUGGCCGCUGUGAAGUGCUUGGCGGUGGUGCUCCGGCCGGCGUCGAAGGAGAAUGGCUCGGUUGUGGCUUAUGGGAGACUAGAGCUCGCGCUAGGGAGUGCAAUCGGUGGCGGAGCUCAAGGCGGAGCUGCUGGCGUGCUCAAUUGACUUGGAACGGCAACGGGGAAGACGAAUUUUGGCGGCGGGUGGUGGUGGUCGGCGGUGAGGUUCAAAGAGAGGUAAAGAAAACUCCGGCCGUCCGAGGCUUUAUCCAUGCGGCGGAACAGGGGUUGUGGAUGAGGCCGUCCGCGCGAAGCACAGCAGCAAGCAGCUGUGUGGCCAGCUGCGUGGCGUUGCGCGCGGAGGCGGCUCUGCCGCGGCGGCAGAGCACCCCCCCUACCGAACACUGUAGCAGGCCACAUCCACUCAGUUUGUCUUUUUGCGAAAUCCGACCAAAACUUGAACUAAAGUCAAAUUUCCACCAAAACAAAAGUUGUGCCAAAUUUUGUAAGCUACAAAUCAUCUUUUGGUGACCAGAGCUGAUUCCGAGUGGAAAGUAGCCAAUUUGGCCAAACAGUUUUGAAAUUCGACUCAAAUCAAUGAAAUUCAAAUUUUUGAAUUGGGGACAAAACAGGAUUUCCAAAAUUACUUUUGAUUUUGCAUAACAACUUGAAACACUCCCAACAUGAAAGUUGCUCAACUUUUUGUGCUCUACAACUUUCAUGUUGACCACUUUUAAAAAUUCCAAAUGUAUUUUGAAUUGGAGGUUUAAUUUGGAAAAGGGGACACUUUCUGGAAAUCUGUAUUUUCAAAAUUACUUUGAAUUUUGUAUUGAAACUUCAAAAACUCAAAACACCAAAGUUGUACAUCUUGACAAGAUCUACAACUUUGCUUUUGAACUCAACCUCAAAUUUUGCUUAGUUUUCAAGUUGUGCAAAAGGGGGCAAAUCUAGGGUUCCAAAAAUCAGGGUUCCCCCCCUUAGCUUUUCGGAAAACUUCCACCCUAGGGUUUUAGCAACCACACAAGCAUCAACACACAACAUAAGCACAUUCUACUUCCCUAAGCACAAGGAAUCAAAAUAAACUUGUUUUAAGUUGAUGCAUAAUAAUGUGCUUAACAAACAUGCUUUGCAAUGCAUGUGAUAACAUGAUCCGUUUUUAGUAACCGUAACAUCGGGGAUGUUACAGCCUUUCCCCCUUAAAGAAAUCUCGUCCCUGAGAUUUAAAACCUUAGGGUAAGUAAUGGAAAAGGAAAUUUGUCAAAACUCUGUCAUCUUCAAUUUUCCCAUAAAGCAAGAAGCUGGGGAAGAUUACUCAAUUAUAAACAUAUGUGUACACAAAGUACAUGGCUUUGGCUACUCUUUUUCUCCACUAGAGUACACUUCUUAUAUAUCAGUUGUUGUCCUGAAGAGAAGCGUGGAACUCAGGGAAAUUCUCCAUUAGGUAAUCUUCAGAUUCCCACGUGGCUUCUUCUUCAGAGUGCUGGCUCCACUGUAUCUUGUACCACUUGGUAGUUGUUCUUCGAGUAACUCUAUUUCUUUGACCCAGUACUUGGAUAGGAUAUUCUGAAUAAGUUAGAUCUGGUUCAAGUUCUACAUCUUCGAUAUCUUGAACUUGGUCUGGUACCUGAAGACACUUCUUCAGUUGAUACACAUGGAACACAUUAUGUACCCCGGAUAAUCGUUCGGGCAGUUUAAGGCGGUAAGCUACCUGUCCACAUCGGUCAAUAAUUGGAAAUGGACAAAUGUAACGGGGCGCUAACUUGCCUUUAACACCAAAAUGAUUUACUCCUUUCCUUGGGGAUACUUUCAAAUACACAUGAUCACCUUUGGCGAACUUUAACGGUCGACGCCUUUUAUCGGCAUAACUCUUCUGUCGGGACUGAGCAACCUUCAAGUUAUUUUGGAUUUGUCGUACUUUGUUCUCAGUCUCUUUCACUAAGUCAACCCCGAAGAACCAUCUUUCUCCGGGUUCCGACCAGUGUAGCGGAGUUCGACAUCGACGGCCAUAUAGUGCCUCAAAGGGAGCCAUCUUGAUGCUCUCUUGGUAGCUAUUGUUGUAAGAAAACUCUGCCAGAGGCAAACAGUCAUCCCACUUAUCUGGAAAAUUCAGGGCACAAGAUCUUAAUAGAUCUUCUAGAGUUUGAUUCACCCUUUCAGUCUGCCCACCUGUUUGAGGGUGGUAGGCUGUGCUGUACAAAAGUUUAGUGCCCAAGGACUCGUGUAAACAUUUCCAGAAUUGGGAGACAAAUUGUGUGCCUCGAUCCGACACUAUUGUCUUUGGCACCCCAUGCAGACUUAGGAUACGAUCAAAAUAGACCUGAGCAUAGGUGGAAGUAUGAUAUGAUUUCUUUACAGGUAAAAAGUGUGCUGUUUUGGUGAGACGAUCUACGAUGACCCAAAUUGAAUCAAAGCCUUUGGCUGUCUUGGGCAACCCCACUAUGAAAUCCAUACUAAUAUCAUCCCAUUUCCAUGCGGGGAUAGGCAAAGGUUGCAACUCCCCAGCGGACUUGAGAUGAAUAGCUUUGACCUUUUGACAGGUGUCACAUUGGGCCACAUAGCGAGCUAUCUCUAUCUUCAUUUUUGUCCACCAAAACCUUUGCUUUAAGUCCUGAUACAUCUUAUUGCUUCCCGGAUGAAUAGAAUACCUCGUGGUGUGAGCUUCCUCCAGGAUUCGUUGACGUAGCUCAGGUACCUUUGGAACCACUAACCGGUUCUUGAACCAGAUUACUCCCGCAUCAUCCACCUUAAAGUCUGUGGGUGCUCUAUUAGAAAUCUUCUCUUUAAGAUGUUUCAUGCCUUUGUCUACUUUUUGUGCCUCUAUGAUUUGAGCUUCGAGAUUGAAAUCAAUCUUUAGAUUGGCAAGGCUUCCCUGGGAAAUCAUUUCUAUCCCCAAGUUCUCUAGCUCUUGGCACAAAGUUAUAUCCCUAGGCGUCACUGUUAAGCAAUUACAGUGAGCCUUACGACUGAGGGCAUCAGCUACUACAUUUGCCUUACCAGGGUGAUAAUGCACCUCAAGGUCGUAAUCUUUAAUUAAUUCUAGCCACCUUCGCUGGCGUAUAUUAAGCUCAGCUUGAGUAAAGAUAUACUUCAAGCUUUUGUGAUCGGUGUAUAGAUGACAUGUGUUCCCCAACAGAUAAUGACGCCAGAUCUUUAAUGCAUGUACCACGGCGGCUAGUUCUAGAUCAUGGGUCGGGUAAUUCUCUUCAUGUGGUUUGAGCUGUCUGGAAGCAUAGGCAAUUACACGACCCUCGUGCAUUAGCACGCAGCCUAUCCCUAUCCCUGAUGCGUCACAAUACACAUCAAAGGGUUUUUCAAUGUCUGGCUGGGCUAAGACAGGUGCAGUUGUCAAUAAUCUUUUCAGAGUCUGAAAGGCUUGCUCACAUUGAGGUGACCAAACAAAUUUUGUUUGAUUUUUGAGCAAGGUCGUGAUUGGUUUGGCGACUCUUGAAAAGUCCGGGAUAAAACGACGGUAAUAUCCCGCCAAACCCAGAAAACUACGGACCUCAUGUACCGUAGUCGGGGGUUUCCAAUUCAACACAUCUUCUACCUUGCCUGGGUCUACAGCGACUCCCUCCGCUGAUAACACGUGACCCAGGAAAUGGACUUUGUCCAGCCAGAACUCACAUUUGCUGAACUUGGCAUAUAGUUGAUGCUCCCUAAGACGGGUUAGCACGAUUCGCAAAUGUUCAGCAUGUUCUUUCUUAGUCUUGGAAUAGAUUAAGAUGUCAUCAAUAAAGACGACCACAAAUUUGUCUAGUUCUGGCAUGAAGACAGAGUUCAUCAGGUACAUGAAAUGGGCCGGUGCGUUGGUCAACCCAAAGGACAUCACCAAGUAUUCAUACAGCCCGUAACGGGUUGUAAAAGCUGUCUUGGGCACAUCCUCCGGCCUAAUUUUAAUUUGGUGGUACCCUGAUCUCAAAUCAAUUUUUGAGAACACUUUAGCCCCGGCCAACUAGUCGAAUAGUAAGUCAAUACGGGGCAAUGGGUACUUGUUCUUAAUCGUCACCUCAUUUAGGGGACGAUAGUCGACACACAGCCUUAAUGUUUGAUCUUUCUUUUUCACAAACAAGGCUGGGCAACCCCAUGGAGAAGAACUGGGCUGAAUAAAACCUUUCUGCAACAGCUCUUGUAAUUGGGUUUUUAAUUCGGCCAGCUCUUUCGGUGCCAUUCUGUAGGCCCUUCGAGAUAUUGGGGCUGUCCCUGGUUUCAAUUCUAUACUGAAUUGUACAUCCCGGUCCGGAGGCAGACCUGGUAGGUCUUCAGGAAAUACAUCCGGAAAAUCUCGAACUACCGGGAUUUCUUUAACUGCCGACACAUUAGUGGCAUGAACUUGCCCAAUUGUCCGCUUGGGAGUGGCUAACUGGAUUAGGAGAUAAGAUUUCUCACUGGGCAACGGGAUUUUAAUGGUUCGAUGCAAAGUAUCUAGCACAACCCCUCGUUGUGCCAUCCAGUUCAUGCCUAGUAUGACAUCAAUCUCCUGGUCUUUAAGAACAAUCAUACUAGUGGGAAAAUUAUGCCCACCAAAUUCGAUGGGUAUCUGGUGAACCAUUUCUUUAGAACUCAAUCGUCCUCCUGGCGACUGUAUAUAAAAAUGAUCUUGUGUUUCCCCAAUGGUAUGCCAUGCUUUAACACAAAGGUGCGAUUGAUGAAUGUAUGAGAUGCACCAGAAUCGAAAAGCAUUAAAGCAGGAUGUUUCGUGACAGGAAACGUACCCAUCAUUACUGGUUGACCCUCCGGGAUCGUCUCCACCUCCGUAUGGAAGACUUGUCCCACUUUCUUCGCUGGUUUUCCACUUUGCACAGGUUGUCCUUUCUGAAUCCCAGUCCUGAAUUGACCCGGCUGGGGUUGACCCAUAGGUGGCCUUUGGAAGGUAGGGUUGGUUUGGCGGGGGAAAGGGCACUCUUUAGAGAAAUGCCCAGGCUUACCACAAUUGAAACAAGGGUAAUUGUGGCUGGGCGGAGCAGUGGGGCGAACACCUGGGGCGUUCGGCUGGCGUGGUGCAAGAGCGAUGGCAGUAGGUCGAGGGUAUACCUGCUGCCCUGGUCUAUACUGUGGAGGGGAGAAAGGACCACGAUAAGGUGACGGCGCUUGGAAACGUCCGUGGCCCUGCGGAUGAUAAAUGAUUCUCUGGCGCUUUUGGCCGCGACCAGAGAAGGAGGAAAAAGCAGCCUUCUUCUUGGCUUCUUUAUGCUUUCUAUUCUUUUCCUCGGAGGCGAUGGCAAUAUUUACCGCCUCAUAGAAGGUAGCAUUUUGGCAGGUGGUCAUCAUGGUCUGAAGUUUAGUAUUUAGACCACGCAUGAAGCAAGCUUUCUUUUUUCUGUCAGUGUUCACAUGGUCUGUGUCAUAUUGAGAGAGAUGAUUAAACUUUGCCACGUAUUCCAUGACACUUUUGUCGCCCUGCUGCAAGGCGAGAAACUCUUCGGCCUUCAUGGCCAUGAGCCCUUCAGGAAUAUAAUGGGCGCGGAACGCGUCCUUGAACUCUAUCCAGGUGACCUGGUGUCCCGGAGCUUGGAUAGCUAGGAAGUUCUCCCACCAGGCACCUGCAGCUCCCCGAAGCUGCUGAGCUGCAAACAGGGGCUUCUGAGUUUCUGAACACUGAAUCAAACUGAACUUGUGCUCCAUGGUCCGGAGCCAGUCAUCCGCUUCUAAAGGCUCAUCGGCCUUAGUGAAAACCGGGGGCCUUGUCUCGGUAAAGUCCACGUACCGAGCUUCUCCGUCCCCAUUGUGUUGUGCCCUGAAGUUUGGGGCGGGGUGUGGUUGACGUUGUGCUAGCUCGCGCAGUAAGCGAGCGUUGUCGGUAGUGGCAUUCAACAAAACAGCAAUGGCCUCGGCCAGAGAAGGUGGACCAGGUGGAGGGUUGGGGAUAUCAUCCCCUCCCUGAGAUGUCCCAGCUCCAUCAGAUCCACGUGUACGCAUCGGCAUCUGCUACAAGAAUCAUAGGUACUUGUCAUCACAUGAACUUCAUAACGUAGAACAUAUCUUACAUUCUUCCAUUUAUUCAUUAAACAUUAAUUCAACACACCAAGAACAAACAAGUACAAAUUCUCAAACCAAAAGAAAACUUAUAUUACAAACCCGACCCCACUACGGCAAGCUAGGACUCCUACAACGACGUUGCCCGCGGUUCCAUCGAACUAAUCGGUGUGGCCAGAGCUGUAGCCCGGGUCGUCAUUGCCAUCAUCCUGAUUACCCCCUGGGUUGUUGUCAUCAGGGUCGGACUCCUCUUCAUCACUGAGGCCUGGAUCGGGUUCCCCAUCGUCUGCCAACUCGCCAUCCGUAUCCAUCUCUCCUUCGCCUGGAGGUGGGUGGAGCUGAUGAUACAGGUCAAAUGCAAUAUCACGAUAUUGCAUUGCCAAGUCAUUGACGGUAUCUAAGUGAUGUGCCAGCUCCAGCUUCUCUAACUGGAGCUGGUCCUCACGCUGCCACGCGACAUCCCGCUGCGCGGUGACCGUGGCCGCCAUCUUCACGUACAAAUCCUUAAGAUACCUGGCCUUGCCCAGCUUCGCAUUCAUCCUAGUCAGCUCAUGCCUGUGUGUGCUCCUAGCUUCUUCCUCUCGGGCAAUGGCGGCAUUCCUCUCCUCCACCAUACGGGACAACACGGCCUCACAGUUCUCCGUAGCUUGUUUUUCUUUGGCUAGUUGAGUUUUGAGUUUGCCGAUCUCCAUAACAUUGUACAUUCUUUCUCUCAUCACCUCAGUCAACUCGGCGGACAACCUGUCCACCUCCAGCUGAGGCGGUGAACGGCUACUACUGGCUUGAUCGCUGCGCGGAGCCAGCUGAUGUCGGGGAACUCCUUUUGGACCUGUCCUCUUACGCGGGGUCUGCUUCUGACGAGCCAUCCUGUGGAGGGUAAGUUUAGAUUAGUAAGAGAGACCUUAAAGGUUAGCAAGAAUGGGAUUGAUUCUAUUCACCCAACCCAACAAGUAGGCAGGAACUUAACCAGUUAAUACAUCAUGAUGCAUGCACGAACUUACGAUUCCUUGUUGACACUUCUUAACGCAACCACCGGAUAUCGGCGACGGCGCCAGAAGUGCCCUGGUAGGGUAACUCUAUUUACUAUUGGAUAAUUCCGCAAGCGCACAGAAUGUACCGCUGUAGCACUUCACCAAGGAGUAUUCCAAGGUAUCGUAAUUUAUAUUUUCCCAAGGGAAAGCGGCUAAGUGUGUUUAACAAAAAGGGGAAUGAGAUUCCUUGAGUUGGCUAGUAUCAACUAGUGAAUAAGGGUGGUAAAUAACGAAUAGGAAGGGUAGUGGUGAAUCCAAGGUCCUAUGCUAAAGGUAAAUGGUAGAGUUAGCUAGGUGGGAGGACAACGAGUGAGUAAAGGACUCCUAUGUAUCUAACUUAACGUCUGUGACUUACUUUAAUAGAUAAUUGCCUUAACUACGCUAGAGCCUUACUAACUGUGUGCGAGGGAUAGCCGAGCUGGUAAGACGCUUAGAAGGUUUUUCACCUAACCCCUUACCGAAAGCGACUAUUGGGCUUAUGGACGCCUUACCUUUUAAGAACUAGCCUGUACGUGAGGAGAACCUAAUGCCGCCCACGAUCUGUCACCUACUAGGGAGUGCGCUCCUACUUUCCGUUCAAGCCAGCGGUAAUCAAAGGUAAUCUUAAGUAUGAGCACCACGCUCACACUUAAUCCUACAACUCUAACUAGUUGCAGCUAGCUAGAGCUCCUAUACAAGAUAGGACGAUGAUGCACACACAGGAGUGGUUACAGGUCACUAACUUCACUAAGACAACUAUAUUACUAAAGUAAAUGCACAACAAGACUAAAAGACUUGCACUAAGUAAGAACUCAGUAAAGUAAAGUAAGAAUAAUAUAUUAAUAAAAGGAAAGUCUUACAAAAGUAGAAAGGUACAAGAGCUAUACCAGACUCUCCAGAAGACGACUCCGGAGACCCCGAGCUUCGCUCGACUCGACUCUAACUCCCACUCUAGACUAACUACUACUCUACUUGUAUUCUUGGAACUUGUAAUGCACUUGGCCUUGGAAUUGCACACUUGAAAUGAAGGGUGGAGGCUGCCUUUUAUAGAGGGAGAUGGAGUAGGGGUUACUCCAUCGCCACGUCAUCGAUCCGCGUGACAUCAUCUCUCCACCCUUGGAUCAAACCGACCUCACAACCGCCAUUUGAUCAACGGCAGGGGCAAAUCAACAUGUGGGACAUGUGGGGAAGGUCGGUGGGAGGCCACCGACCCUGGAACCGCCUUUGAUGUGGGGUCGGGCGACCCCACUUCUGGGCCUCUGGGCCCACCAGCAGUGUCCACAGGGGUCCCUUAUGUCGGUGGACUAGGUGGCACACCUGGGUCCCACCAAAGAGGGGUCGGGCGACCCCCUCCCUGUGGGCCCAGGGUGUCACCUGUUGUCCCCUCGAUCUCCUCUUGAUGAUUCUGAUGUUGGCUUUGUCAAAUAAUGUCUUGAAUUUGUUGUUCCUGCAUAAACAAGCUAAGAGUACAAGUGGAACUAGUUAUGGAUAAAAUAUGUUCAUGUCAUGUCAUUUCCCCUUGCAACCGAGGCAUGUUGACGGUGUUUUGUAUGUGGAUUUCUAUGGUAUAUCCACCGUCAACAAGAUCCCCCAAGCUUAACCUUUGCUCGUCCCGAGCAAACAAUCAAACUUAGCCUCGGUGGAUCAGGUAUUGUUACUAUGUUCACAUUUCAAGAGUACCAUGUGUACAACAAAGUUCUUCUCUUUGCAUGAAAAAUUUAGCUAUGUAAACUUACCCCUAUUACCUUAGUCCCUUAUGGGGCUUAUGGCUUUUCCUUUGUCUUAGGUGGUUGAGAGACAGAACAGUUUGACUUGAGCACUAACUUUGUCAUUCUUAGCAAGUUUCAUAUCAGAGGUUUUGUGAUAUUUUCAAAAGAAAGCUUAAAUGUUCCUCUUAUGGUUCUCUCAUGUCACUCAAAUGGUGUAUGAUUCCUCACCAAGGCAUAUGGUAAGAGUUGCCUUCUCUAUUUCAUCCUAUUUCUAAAAGGCUUAUGUGGAGUUCAAGGUAGGGAUGAAAGGAGAUAGCAUACUUACUUUGCAUAUAUUGCGAAGUCAAAGCUCGGAUCCUUGAAGAGAAGUGUCAUACUCCCAGAUCAAGAUGUGCAAGUGUGAUAUAUGGUGGACUAGGUUGCUCCUUUAUUUGAUAGACUCUCUAUGUAUUGAGACAUGGCUAGCUUUUUUUUUAUAUAUAUGAGCUUUCAUGUGCUCAAUUUUCUUUUUCUGUGGACUUGCAUAUGUCCAUCUUUUUAUUUCAUUUUUCCUAGCCUUUUGAUGUCUCAUUUACCAAAUAAUGCUUAGAGAGAUGUUCUAACAUUUAGAGUAUGGAGCAACUUAUUUAGUGGAUGCGAAAUACAUGUGAUUGCGUACUUCCAGUGUAGAAGCAGCAUAUAUAUAUGUGGUGUGUACGUGAUCUUGAUCUUAGGAGCAUGAAAAGUCUCUUAACAAGGGUCAACAAGACUUGACGACACUCAACACAAAGCAAAUAACUUAUGUGGAAAGAUUGCAAUUAUGUAAAGUAGAUAUGGCUGUGGUAGGAAUUCAUCACCAUUGAGGAACAAUUAAGGUUUUGAUCAUUUUAAGAAUAAAUCUCUGAUAAUCAUGCAUGCUUAGAAAAAUAUUAUAGUAGCUCUUGUCUUACUAUCUCAUGUCCCACAACAACUUAGACUUAGUUCUAGCACUUGCAACCCACAAAGUUUUUAGGUUCAUGGCAGUUUAAGUGAGCUAAGUGAUCCAUACUUAGAGAAAUACUAAGUUGUAUACUAGGUACUAGAGAAACAUUAACAAGCAACUAGUCAUCAUUUCCAUGAGGGAUAUAAACAUACAUGAAGCAUAUAUGCUAAAGGGAAAUGCUAAUAAAUAUUUUUUUUUAAGUAAGAAUGAUAAAAUGCAUGAAAAUAAAUAGGAUAGAAUACUUACCUUAGUGGGGGAGAGGAUCUCCCCCAAGCUAGAUCUUCGCUCACUGUGGUGGCGGGAAAUUCUGGUACUAUCCAGCCCAGCGUUGUGCGUCUUCCUCUCGCACACGUCGGAUAUGUUGGCCGUUUUGUAACGCCAGUUGCAAUGUUGCUUCUUGCCCAAUCUGCAAUUCGCCCAUGUCAUUAAUGAGACUGUCCAUACCUGUGGGCUGGUGACGCCUAGCCCUGUCCCUUGGGCGUGGAGUGCGUUGUGGAGGUAGACCCAUGGAGUCUGAAGCAUCCACUGACAUCGCUUCAUCGCCCUCUUCAACGUCAUGGUGCGAGGAUCCUCCUUGCUCCAUCUGGGCGGCUUGCAUCAUCCUUCUUGUCACCCUGCGUGUCCCUGCAACAUCUGGACUUGCCACUCGGGCUAGUCUAAUGGUAAGUGUGCGGACCCCAUACAACCAGCGCCUCGCACAUGGGAGAGGAAUUUCGGUUGUAUAGCCCGGAUAAUUCAUUUUAAGUUCACCAUUUGGAUCUCUUAUGAGCAUGUUAGCAUUGAUAAAGAAGUUCUCAUCUACCACCCCUCUAACAUAGCCAAUGUCUUCAAAAUAAUGUGAUUCAAGUAAUCCAAAAGUAUCGGCUAUUCGAGUAAUAAAGGAUGUGAAAUAGAUGGGCUUCCCAUACUCAAUAGAGUUAAGCCAAUAGUUCACUAGCAGUUUCACAGGGGAGACCUUGAUUUUACUAACCAUGGCAUAGAGAAUUUUAAGUUCAUCAUCAAUUAAAGUAUCAGUUCCCAUGCCAGGAUAUAGAGUGCACAUGAUCCAGAAGUGAAGAAAGCGCAAGGUUGGAUUAUGGAUUUCAAUGGGAGUAGGAUUUGAACAAUCAUUAGAGCCAGAAAUUGCUUUCCAGAAUCUAAAUUUAUCGAACAUUCUAGUGGCAUGAUCUAGAUCAAGUUCACAUUCAUGUUCACACCCUAAAGCAGUGUUUAGCAAACUCCAAUUUAAUUGAUGUUCUUGCUCACACAUGCGAAAAGAUAUUCCAUUAUUUGUGAGUUUUAGGGUGCAUAGAAAUUCCUUAGCAAGCAAUUCUUUUCCAAAUUCAGGCACUUGCCAAAAACUACUCCAACCAAUUGCUCUAAACACCUUAUCGAAUUCAACAUCCAUACCUGUGCGGGCCAAAAGGUCCGGAUCGAUGAUGCUAGUGUGUAGGAAGAGACCCUCUCGGAUGAUGUAGUACCUUUGCAACUCUUCUUGGCUUAACAUGAGGCCGCUCUCGGGCUCUCUCAUCCUUGAUGGAGGCUCGUAGGGUACCAUCCCAUGGUAACCUUCUUCUUCCUCCCUUCCAUGAGCAUGGUGAGAGCCUUGAGAAGAGCUCUCACCCUUUGCUUUCUUGAACUUGCCGAAGAUAUGCUUCUUCAUCCUCCUACACAAGUGAGGCAAACCAAGCUCCUACUACUACUACUAUGCAAGGGGAAUCUUUUUGGGUUUUUGUUUUGAUGACUAUUUCUAAACUAAACUUGAGAAAUGGCUUGUAACAAAGAGAGAAGAGAAAGGAUUGUGAGCUCGAAAUGGUUCUGGUGGUUUUGGGUGUGGAGUUGAGCUCACAAUGCUGUGGUAUUUAUAGGGGAGAAGGGCAAGUAGUGGACCCACAAUAUAGGGGUCGGCCGACCCCCCCUAGAAGCACUUUGAAUUUGAAUUUAGCUUUAUACAGGGAACCAUUCUGCAUGCUUUCAAGAUUUUGCAGAGAUGGUCCAAAAUGGGGGUCGGCAGACCCCCAUCCUAGCCCCUCCUCCACUUUAAACAUUGUGUCAUUGAUUGUCCAGAAAAGUAAAGGCUAGGUGUGGACCAAAAGUUUUCAAAUUGUUUCUGAGAUUCCCUGUUUUAGUGCUUUGUGAAAGGUAAAAGAUGAAUGGCAAAAGUGGAGACAUGUCUAAAGUGAUUCCUAUGGACCAUGGGAGCACUCAAGCAUGCCUAGGUGACCACUUUGCAGAAUUUAAGCUAGUGGAGUGGUCCCAAAAGAAUCAAAGAUGAAAGGAGCAUCUUAUGACUAAAGUAAAGGAUCAAGGGACCACUCUUUUUCAAACUUUAGCUAGUGUUACAAGCAUAGGACUCCAUUGUGAUUCAAAUGGUGGCCAGCAGGAAGCAAGUGGGGCCAAUAUGGGGGUCGGCCGACACCCACAUUGGAGCUCCCAGAGCAUCCAAGUGCUGGGUUGGAACCUCUAUGACUAGCAAGGUUGAAAUGUGGUGAAGUGGGCCCCAAGGUGGGGUCGGGCGACCCCCCUUUGGGAGCUCCAGCAGCUCAAAUUUUUAUGACAAGUUAUUCUCAAGAUUUUAUUUAUUAUGGCUAAACAUUUUGUCGAAAUAAGAUAUGCAAAAUUCAAAGUAAGAAUGCAAUUGAAAAGUGAAUAGUAGAAAUUGAAAUGCAGAAAAUAAAUAUGGGAUAACUACUGAUUUACCUUAUCAGCAAGGGCUCCAUGUUUUAGGUCCGUAGAGCAGGACCUCUCCAUCUUGUUCAUUCUUCGGGUGCAUCAGAUGGUCCCGGAGACGUGGACCUUGAUUGCACCUCUUUCUCCCGCCAUACUUCCUUGGUAUUGAUGUUUGGUUCAGCGGGUUCCUCUUCUUUCUUUUCGGCCCUUUUGGCCGACUUACCUCUCUUGUCCCUUCGGCGUCGGAUGUGGCGAGGCUUAGUCGGAGGUUCUUUGUCCUUCACCUGCAUGUUAGCUUUAUAACCAUUGAAUGGACAUUUUACCUUCCAUCCUGGGAAUUGGAGGUGAAUCUGGCCGGACCCCACAUAGAUGACUGCAUUGACCGUGUUGAGGAAUGGCCUUCCCAAGAUGAUCGAGACAUCAUUAUUGGAUCCCAUAUCCAAAAUGAUGAAGUCGGCAGGGACGUAGUCGUCUUGGACCUUUACCAGUAUGUCCCUUGCCAACCCCUCAGGGAACCUGAUCGUCUGAUCUGCCAUCUGUAAACGAACAAAUGUGGGGUGCAAAGGCCCCCCUAGCAAAUUAUCAUAAGUUACCUUGGCCAUGAUGUUGACACCCGAUCCAAGGUCGCAGAAGGCGUUGUGGAAGAUUUGCGGUCCGAUCUCACAGGUGAUGGUCGGCAGGCCUGGGUCGUCUUUCUUGGUGAUGAAGGGCGAAUCCAGAAGAUAGCUCCAGUUGGAUUGUACCGGAGGCUUACCGAACCUCGUAGUAACUAGUUUAACUCCUUCAAUUGGGUCCUCAGGUUUCCCUGGGAUCUUACCUUGCUCGAAGGAUGGGACAGCUGCUGCUAAUUGAGCUAAUUGUGUUUCUAGCAUUUUGUUAAAGCUCAACUGAUUUUUCAUAGCAGAGUUAAAGCUAUCCAACUUUUCACUUAAGUUUUCAAGGAUCUUAUCAUUAGCCAUCAUUUUCUUGUUAAUGCUAUCAUUGAUUUUAGAUUGGCCUAAGACAAGAUCUCUAAGAGAAGGUUGGUUACCAAAAGAAUUAUUGAAAUUUUGAUUGUAACCAUUACCUUGAUUACCUUGGUAGAAGGGGCGCGAGUUCCAUUGCUGUUGUUGGGGCCGGUACCCAUUGUUGUUGUUGUUGAUGAAGCUCACUUCCUCCUUUGUUUCGGGACAAUUGUUUCCCGAAUGAUCAUCUCCUCCGCACACUUCGCACCAUGAAUCAGAUUCAAUGGCCCGUGCAGUGGCGUAAGGUUGAAUGGUCUCUUGCUUGGAACUUUCUUCCAUCUUCUUCAUUAAGAGGUCCAUCUUAGCAGAGAGCAUGUCCACCUCCUUCAAGGCAUGGACACCUCUUCUCUUGGGUUGGAGGCGUUCCUCAUUCCAUCCUUGGUUUAUAACCAUCUUUUCAAUGAGGUCCUUGGCAUCCUUGACAUUGUGUUGCAAGAAUGCUCCCCCAGCGGCAGCAUCAAGGUGACUACGGGCCAAACCGGUCAGGCCAUGGUAGAAACCUUGGAUUAGGAGCCACUCCUCUAUCCCAUGAUGAGGACAGGCGCGAAUGUACUCCUGCAGACGUUCCCAUGCUUCGGGAAUCGUCUCAUCCGCUUGCUGUUGGAAGCUGGAAAUCUUUCCACGAAGGGCGCUGGUCUUGCCCAUCGGAAAGAACUUCUUGAGAAAUGCAUUGGCGCACCUCUCCCACGUGGUCACUUCACCCUUGUUGGCGUAGAACCAUUGCUUCGCCUUCCCCAAUAACAAGAAUGGGAAGAGGCGAAGACGGAUGGCGUCUGCGGCGACAUUCUUGAUGGUGAAGGUGCCGCACACCUCCAAGAAGUGUUGGAGAUGGGCAUUGGCAUCCUCGUGUGGCUUUCCACAGAAGGGAUUGGCUUGCACCAUAUUGAUAAGCGCAGGCUUCAACUCAAAAGUCGCAUCCCCCAAGUUAAGCUGCGGACCCGUGGCGACAUUGUCAGCCGACGGCGCAGAGUACUCAGAGAUGGUCUUCUGGGCCAUAGCUUCUUUGAUAACCGGUGCAGAUACUCCUUCCUCUAACGGAUUCAGGUUCGAGAUGAACCUUUGAGGUGGAACUUGACGACGUCUAGUUCUCCUCAACAGUUGCUCAGGAUCUUCAACGAAGUUUGACGGCAAUUGGAAACCGCUCAUACACUGUCAGGCUUCACAAUAAAGGAAGACAAGACAAGUGAUGGGUUAUCCCUAUCACUACUUGAUAACUAGCAAACUCUGGAUUCUCUUUUUGUUAAAACUCUUAGACAGACGCGAUCCCCGGCAACGGCGCCAGAAAUGCCUGUUGACACUUCUUAACGCAACCACCGGAUAUCGGCGACGGCGCCAGAAGUGCCCUGGUAGGGUAACUCUAUUUACUAUUGGAUAAUUCCGCAAGCGCACAGAAUGUACCGCUGUAGCACUUCACCAAGGAGUAUUCCAAGGUAUCGUAAUUUAUAUUUUCCCAAGGGAAAGCGGCUAAGUGUGUUUAACAAAAAGGGGAAUGAGAUUCCUUGAGUUGUCUAGUAUCAACUAGUGAAUAAGGGUGGUAAAUAACGAAUAGGAAGGGUAGUGGUGAAUCCAAGGUCCUAUGCUAAAGGUAAAUGGUAGAGUUAGCUAGGUGGGAGGACAACGAGUGAGUAAAGGACUCCUAUGUAUCUAACUUAACGUCUGUGACUUACUUUAAUAGAUAAUUGCCUUAACUACGCUAGAGCCUUACUAACUGUGUGCGAGGGAUAGCCGAGCUGGUAAGACGCUUAGAAGGUUUUUCACCUAACCCCUUACCGAAAGCAACUAUUGGGCUUAUGGACGCCUUACCUUUUAAGAACUAGCCUGUACGUGAGGAGAACCUAAUGCCGCCCACGAUCUGUCACCUACUAGGGAGUGUGCUCCUACUUUCCGUUCAAGCCAGCAGUAAUCAAAGGUAAUCUUAAGUAUGAGCACCACGCUCACACUUAAUCCUACAACUCUAACUAGUUGCAGCUAGCUAGAGCUCCUAUACAAGAUAGGACGAUGAUGCACACACAGGAGUGGUUACAGGUCACUAACUUCACUAAGACAACUAUAUUACUAAAGUAAAUGCACAACAAGACUAAAAGACUUGCACUAAGUAAGAACUCAGUAAAGUAAAGUAAGAAUAAUAUAUUAAUAAAAGGAAAGUCUUACAAAAGUAGAAAGGUACAAGAGCUAUACCAGACUCUCCAGAAGACGACUCCGGAGACCCCGAGCUUCGCUCGACUCGACUCUAACUCCCACUCUAGACUAACUACUACUCUACUUGUAUGCUUGGAACUUGUAAUGCACUUGGCCUUGGAAUUGCACACUUGAAAUGAAGGAUGGAGGCUGCCUUUUAUGGAGGGAGAUGGAGUAGGGGUUACUCCAUCGCCACGUCAUCGAUCCGCGUGACAUCAUCUCUCCACCCUUGGAUCAAACCGACCUCACAACCGCCAUUUGAUCAACGGCAGGGGCAAAUCAACAUGUGGGACAUGUGGGGAAGGUCGGUGGGAGGCCACCGACCCUGGAACCGCCUUUGAUGUGGGGUCGGGCGACCCCACUUCUGGGCCUCUGGGCCCACCAGCAGUGUCCACAGGGGUCCCUUAUGUCGGUGGACUAGGUGGCACACCUGGGUCCCACCAAAGAGGGGUCGGGCGACCCCCUCCCUGUGGGCCCAGGGUGUCACCUGUUGUCCCCUCGAUCUCCUCUUGAUGAUUCUGAUGUUGGCUUUGUCAAAUAAUGUCUUGAAUUUGUUGUUCCUGCAUAAACAAGCUAAGAGUACAAGUGGAACUAGUUAUGGAUAAAAUAUGUUCAUGUCAUGUCAUUUCCCCUUGCAACCGAGGCAUGUUGACGGUGUUUUGUAUGUGGAUUUCUAUGGUAUAUCCACCGUCAACAUUCCUACCAACGAUUCGCAACGAUAUUACUUUAAAUUUUUACAACAUAGGGCAAUACUCUAUGUUGCUCCUCCAAACCACUUCAAAAAAUUCUAAGGAAGCCUAUAGAUAGGGUAAGUUAGGACUAAGCACUUGGACUCAAAGUAGACCAGUUUAUAGUAUUGGAUCCAAAGGAAUUUUGAAGUCUUGCAAGAGGUUCAGCAGUCAUCUUAGCAACGAAUGCUCUGAUACCAGCUGUGGCAGAACCCCCUAAGUGUUUGGGCCCACCGGCACCUGUCAUUGUCCUAAGGACCUCUGACGGCGAUGCCGGGGAUCCUCCCACUUUAGAAGUCCGAUGAGCAUCGCUGGAUGCUCAUUCCACUGCUACCUGUGGCGUGCCAAGCCGGCUCGUCCUGACCACUGGUGAUGGUCAAUUAACGAGAACUUCUUCUUCUCGGCCUUACAGGAUAGCAAGUGGCCACCUUAACACCAGGAUCAUUCGUUGCGAAGACAUUGCAGAACCACAAACGGCAUACGACCAAAAUAAUAUUUCAGAGUAAAACAGCGGAAGUAUUACAUAACUUAUUUUACAAAAGGAGUUCUUCCAAAUAGCAGAGUGUUAUUACAAACCAGGUCCAGCGGAGCAACUUAAACUUUAGUACCGAGAUUACAAAUUUACAGACCCAGCCCAUGGGUCACGCUCACUCUUCUUCGUUGUCAACCUCGACGACAGUCACACAACAGGGUCCGAAACAAGUCGGCUCCUGAGAAUCACCUGCAACAGGGGGUUGGAAAACCCUGAGUACGGGAGUACUCAACAAGACUUACCCGGUGGAAAAAGAGGAGAACUUAGGAAUGCAGGCUUAGGGUAAACAAGGAGUGGCUGAGCAAGGAGCCAAAGUGUUUUGCUAAAAAGCUUACUAAUAGUGCAUCCUUACUUUCAAGUUUUACCUGCGAAUUCCUCUCCCAUCGAGGCCGAGGAGUUCGAGGACAGUCUACCUAGUUGUUUCCCCACAGACGAGUCUGUGAGUUUCUAGUCCUAAAAUAAAGUAUUAUUUAUUCGAUGGCCAUAGCUUCAUGUCGCUAUGAGUCCGGGAAUUGGGAUCCGAACCUCAUGAGACAUUUCCCCUUUCUCAUUUUACCAAUUAGUUGCAUAAUUAACUACGAUGAGGGGCAGUGGAUUGAGUCUCCCAAUCGGGGAGCAACGACGAUUCGAACCGCUUAGCAAUCCAGCUGGAGUUCCUAACCACCCGACAUAUGUAGAACCAAAACUUGCAUAUGUCAACCCAAAUCAAGCUCUCCCGAAAUUUGACCAGGUUCGCGGCACCCGAGAGCACAGUACUCCACCGUCCUACAGCCGAUCUAGAUGUUUUCCGGUCAUCCCAGAUCCGUAAGGUGGGUACACACUACUCUCGCCAUCUUUCCACUCCCAGUGCACGAGUAGCUGUUCGCGUCGAGGGAUCACAAGACCGGGCUUACCGAGGGCAAGUGGCUAGUACUAUAAAUUCUCAACCCAGCGGGCCAUCAACGGACCGGUCCUUAACCGACACAGUUGGAGACACUACUUUAAGACUCCAUUCUUAAAGCAAGUCCACCGACCGGUCUCAGAUUAAAACAUCAUUGAUCAUAAAUGUAUUCCACAACAACCCUUCAAACUUUCUUAUUUGAAAACCUAUCUAGUAGCAGGGCUAAGCAUCACUACGCAGUUUUAAAAUGAACAGGUGUCAAGGACAGGAUAACAGAUAUCAAGGUAGUAAAUGCAGCAAGUAGGUUAACCCAAUUAUCAACUAACUAAUGCAGCAUUUUCAAUUCAUAAGUGAUAAAAGAUUUAAAACAUUCAAGGAGGGGUUAAUGCAUCCGGGGCUUGCCUUGGUUGCAGGGCAGAGAGGGACCCUCGGAGACUUCCGAAGUCUCGGAUCCGACUUCCUCGAACGGAGCACCGACCUCGGUGUUUGGUUCAACGGGCGCUCCUUCGGUCACGGAUACUAUAAGCAAAAUGAUGAAUGCUCAUGAUAUGCGUAUGACAAUUAUGCAAGAAGGAUUAAGUCGAGUACAACUUGCCUUCUUGGUGCAAUACAGAAUAAACCACAAAUAAAAUUGUUUUUACCCAAGAGGUUGCAUCUAUAACCUAAGACUUCUUUUAAUUUGUAAUUAUCUUAAAUUAACUAAUAAUUAAUCCUUUUAUCUUAAUUAAUUCUUAAUUAAUUACUAAUAACAGCAAUUAAGCAUUAAGGCCAAACAAUAAUUAAAUGCCAAGGGUCAUUAGGGUUAAUGACCUCAGGUCAUCACAAAAUCCCAAAAUCACUCAAACCCUAAUGAUGAGGAUUUUACUAAUUAUUGUUUAAUUAUUUUGGAAUUAUUACUUAAGUACUAAAUAAGGGUUUAUUAAUAUUUUAAUCAAACAUUAUCCAAAUGCCACCAAAUUUUGUGUGGAGCCAGGGAAUAAUAUUCAGAGGCUCCCCACAAUUUUUGGUGAUUUUUGGACAUCCUAAUAAAUUACUAAAAUUCCUAGAAGUUUUAUUCACUAAUUAAAGAGCCAAUUUUUAUAGACAUGCAAACUACCAGAAAAACAAUACCUAGUAUUUUUCUUAUGCUCUAAAUAUUUUAUGGAAGCUAUACAAAAAUUCUCAUGAUUUUUGGAUCAGCACAGAAUUUACUAUUUGAAAUCAAACAUCAAACACUUUUAAACAAAAAGGAAAAAGAAAAAGGGCACUGUGCGCUGGGGCCUGCUUGGACGCGGCCCACUCUGGCCCGAGCGCUCGGUCCGAGCGGAUGGCGCGCGCUGCCCCCUCCCCUCACGCGGACACUGACGGGCGGGUCCUGCCCGUCAGUUCCGUCUUCUUCCUCGCGCCGCACUGCUCCGGCGAUCGCCCAGCGCCGAUGAGCCCUCCCCAGCGCUAACCAAUUGCUCCACUAGGUUCGCCGCGACCCCCUGAGCGGCCUAGCGUGCUCAACAUGGUCACGGGGAGCUCCUGAGCCACCCGGCCACGGCUCCGGCGGCCGGAAGCAGCUCGGUGCCGAACCCCGAGCAUCCAGAGCCGGUAGAGAGCGAGGGAAAGGGCGUAGGAGUACCAAGAGCUCACCGCGACUUCGGCAAGGUAGCAAGCGACGGCUGAGGAGCCCUGAGAUGAGCUGGCCGCUGUGAAGUGCUUGGCGGUGGUGCUCCGGCCGGCGUCGAAGGAGAAUGGCUCGGUUGUGGCUUAUGGGAGACUAGAGCUCGCGCUAGGGAGUGCAAUCGGUGGCGGAGCUCAAGGCGGAGCUGCUGGCGUGCUCAAUUGACUUGGAACAGCAACGGGGAAGACGAAUUUUGGCGGCGGGUGGUGGUGGUCGGCGGUGAGGUUCAAAGAGAGGAAAAGAAAACUCCGGCCGUCCGAGGCUUUAUCCAUGCGGCGGAACAGGGGUUGUGGAUGAGGCCGUCCGCGUGAAGCACAGCAGCAAGCAGCUGCAUGGCCAGCUGCGUGGCGUCGCGCGCGGAGGCGGCUCUGCCGCGGCGGCAGAGCACCCCCCCCUGUCGAACACUGUAGCAGGCCACAUCCACUCAGUUUGUCUUUUUGCGAAAUUCGACCAAAACUUGAACUAAAGUCAAAUUUCCACCAAAACAAAAGUUGUGCCAAAUUUUGUAAGCUACAAAUCAUAUUUUGGUGACCAGAGCUGAUUCCGAGUGGAAAGUAGCCAAUUUGGCCAAACAGUUUUGAAAUUCAACUCAAAUCAAUGAAAUUCAAAUUUUUGAAUUGGGGACAAAACAGGAUUUCCAAAAUUACUUUUGAUUUUGCAUAACAACUUGAAAAACUCCCAACAUGAAAGUUGCUCAACUUUUUGUGCUCUACAACUUUCAUGUUGACCACUUUUAAAAAUUCCAAAUGUAUUUUGAAUUCGAGGUUUAAUUUGGAAAAGGGGACACUUUCUGGAAAUCUGUAUUUUCAAAAUUACUUUGAAUUUUGUAUUGAAACUUCAAAAACUCAAAACACCAAAGUUGUACAUCUUGACAAGAUCUACAACUUUGCUUUUGAACUCAACCUCAAAUUUUGCUUAGUUUUCAAGUUGUGCAAAAGGGGGCAAAUCUAGGGUUCCAAAAAUCAGGGUUCCCCCCCUUAGCUUUUCGGAAAACUUCCACCCUAGGGUUUUAGCAACCACACAAGCAUCAACACACAACAUAAGCACAUUCUACUUCCCUAAGCACAAGCAAUCAAAAUAAACUUGUUUUAAGUUGAUGCAUAAUAAUGUGCUUAACAAACAUGCUUUGCAAUGCAUGUGAUGACAUGAUCCGUUUUUAGUAACCGUAACAUCGGGGAUGUUACACCGAUAGGUCAGAAAUCUUUUGCUUCAGCACGUCUCCUGAGGAGUUCAGAAUGCCGAUGCUCUUAUGCUUCUCAUCGGCAAGGUGUUUACCUUCAUCACCUCCUCUGAAAGCUGGGCAUAAGCGGCCCUAUCGGCAAGGCGCUGAGUGGCCUUUUGAUACUGAAGCUGUCGACUCUCUAAGUGUGCGGCCUUGAAGAGGAUCUCCUCAGCAUCGGCAGGGAUCUGGCCUCUGAGAGUUUUGAAUAGAGCCUUGGCUGAAUCAGAAUCAUCAACCAGUUAGGUUGUGUCUUGAUGGAGGAUAGUGUUGGCGGUUCUUAAUGACAUAUUUACCCCGCCAACAUAGUCCAUGCAAAGGAAGAAAAGCAUGUAUUUUACUCACAUAUACUUAUUAAAUGCUUACCAAGUUAUAUCACUUUCAUCAACAACUUAGUCAAUAUGGUUCCUAUAGAUUUUUACCCAUGAGGAUGAACAAUUGUAAGAACUAUACUUUAUGUCACUAUUUCUCUUAAAUCAUGUACCAGUUCACUUUUUAUUUUGCAAACAAGUUUAAACUAUCAAAUUUUAUUUUAAUUGUGACACAAAGGUAAAGAAUUGGACAGACUGAGAGGGGGAAGAAUUAGCAAACCGGGCAGGAAAGAUGUCUUUCGUCGUAUAGAAGCUGCCUGGUGGGCCCAGGGCUCCAUGGAAGGGUCGGCCAACCCCACCUGGAGGUUCCUGGCCCUGCCACUCGAUUCUACGUCCCUCGGGAAGUCUUUCUGCACUUGUGUCGUUUCCUUUUGCCAUAGAAAGGGGGUCGGGCGACCCCCCCCACCACCUGCAGUUUUCGUGCAGCUGAACUUACAACAGAGAGAGAUGAUCAAAUGCAGACGUCCUGCUGGUGGCAACACACCAGCAGGACCAAAAACAACUCUAUUAAAUCAAAUUUCAAUUGUAUAGGCACUUUUACAUUGUGAAAUUCAAAGUGACAAAUUGGAAAAUAAAAUUGAGUAAUCAAACCUAAAUAAUCAAAUAGUGCCUAUAACCUAAACUAACUAAUUUAUUUAGGGAGAUGGAGGUUUGAGGAGAUCCUCCCGCCCAAUUGCUUGUGCCAAACGCUUGAUUUUAGCGCUGGUGCUAAUGCGCAGGUGGCGGAAGUGAUCUUCUAACUCAAGAUUCUCCAUCCUGAGCUCCGACACUGUCUCCUCUAAGAUCCUAUUUUUCUUUCUAAGGCUAGCUGUGACUUCCAGGAGCUUCUCGAUGUCGCCUUUUUCUGGAUCUUCUUCGUAUUUGCCAGGCGCACCGUUGAUCGGAGGUGGAUCCAUCUUCCGCCGGAUGGAUGGACUUGCUGACGAGUCAAAGGACUCUCGCAACUCCAUCUUUUCCUUAGAGUUCAACGGCGGGAUCAGCACCUUCCCCUUUCCUGGCCCACCGCCCACCACUUGGUGGUUCCUCCAAAAGGUUGGGGUGGACGGCGAGUAGGAAGAGGUGUGGAUCGUGUCGGAGGAGAUGGUGAUGGCCUGCUUGGUGGCCAUCGGCGCCUUCUCCCGCAGCGCAAGUUGGCCCGUGGUAGGUCGAACCGGCGUUACGGCUCGAGCAGGGGACUUGCCGAUGCCCCUGCGCGGUGUGAGCGAACGAGAGGCCAACGCGGAGCGCUGGGUCACCCGGGGCGAGGUCGGGCGACCCCUCUUGGGGUCGGGCGACCCCCACAUGGGGCCCGUCGGCCCUCCAGCCGGCGGCACCAUGGCUAGUGGUUCAGGCUCCAGCACGUUGACGGCUAGGGCAAACUCCAGGCUCUCAGUUAGAGACCUUUGCGGACGUGGGGAGUUAGAGCGAAUGGCUUGGUUGGAAGAUUUAGUUGGAGGAGCCAUGGAGAUGGAUCUCUUGGCAAGGAAUGGAGGCUAGGAGAGUCUGGUUCGAGGUGAAGAUGAGAAGGAAUGAAUUGAGAGGAGGAAGAAGAAGAAGAGGGGGGAUAAAUAGAUGUGUUUGGAGCUUGAGAGUUUGAAUUUUGAAAAGGAGCGUCGUGGAACGUUUGAGGGACGAUCCGAGACUCCAGGGGAUUUCAAAACUCAAAAUAUUGGGGGUCGGGCGACCCCUAUAUUUCAGGAUUUUGAAUUUCACCACCGAACUCUAUUCAUUCCCCUCUUUCUAAACCUAUUCCCCCUUGGGCCAAAACCCCUAGAAGAGGGGUCGGCCGACCCCCAUUUGGGGUGUUCGGCAGCCCAACUUCGAUCCUACAUCAUCUAAAACCCUUUUAAAACCUAUUUCCAAACAAAAGGAACUAAAUAUAUUGGUUUAGCAAAAUUUUUUUUUUUAACAAAAGGAGGUAAAAAGAAGGACAUGUGGAUUUUAAGACUUUAUGUCAGAUUCAAAUUCUAUCAUAUCAACUUCUUUUUCUAAAGGUUCAUGUUCAUGGAAAACUUUAAGACGAUGACCAUUUACCUUAAAGAUGUUGCCGUCGUCGUCCCGCAGUGUUACCGCUCCAUGAGUCGCGGCGUCAACAACGAAGAAUGGUCCUUCCCAUUUGCUCCUUAGCUUUCCAUGGCCAAAUAACUUGACCCUUGAGUUGAACAUGAGAACCUUAUCCCCAGGAUGAAAUUCCUUUUGCUUGAUCCUUUUAUCAUGCCAUCUUUUUGUUCUCACUUUGUAGAUCCUGGCAUUGUGAUAGGCUUUAUCUCUCCAUUCUUCUAGUUCGGAGAUUUGGAGCUUUCUAUUUCUUCCGGCCGAGGGCAAAUCCAUGUUCCAUUUCUUGAUUGCCCAGUGAGCUCUAUGCUCUAGCUCUACCGGUAGAUGGCAUGUCUUACCGUAUACAAGUUGGUAUGGUGUCAUACCAAUUGGGGUCUUGUAUGCGGUCCUGUAUGCCCAAAGUGCAUCUGGUAGAUGGCUUUUCCAGCCGGUUCCCAUCUUAGUGACAGUCUUCUGCAGAAUGUUCUUGAUUUGUUUGUUAGAUGUUUCUGCUUGUCCGCUCGUUUGAGGGUGAUAGGGUGUUCCAAUGUUGUGCCUUAUCCCCACUUCAGCUAAGAACCGUCGGAAUCUUCUGUCAAUGAAGUGGCUCCCUCCAUCACUGAUAACUAGUCUGGGGGUGCCGAAGCGUGGAAAUAUGACUUCCUUGAACAUCUUUAUCGAAUGUGUAGAGUCGGCUGCUCUGCAGGGCAUUGCUUCGACCCACUUGGACACAUAGUCUACUGCCACUAGGAUGUACUCACACCCUUGUGACAAAGGGAAUGGCCCCAUGUAGUCUAUGCCCCAAGCAUCGAAUAUCUCGACUUGUAAGUUGUUUGUGAGUGGCAUUGCAUCACGAGUAUUGAUGUUCCCAUGCUUCUGACACCUUGCACAUCUCCUCACGAAGUUCUUUGUAUCUUCGUACAUGGUAGGCCAGCACUCUGCCAUAUCUUGGCAUGGGUCCUGAAUGCUCCAUAGUGGCCUCCGUACUCUGCCCCAUGGCAUUUUUCCAUUAUUUUUACUGCCUCGUCCAUGGGAACACAUCUCCUGAGUAUGCCAUCUUGACAGACUCUGUAGAGGUAAGGAUCGUCCCAUAGGUGCACCCUACUCUCUUUAACAAGCUUCUUCUUGUCUACCCCAGGUGGUAUGUAUCCGGACGCCAGGUAGUUGACUAUGUUUGCAUACCAUGGGUAGGCUUCUGAAACUCGGAGGAGUGUGUCGUCUCGAAGGUAGUCGUUGAUAGGUGGAUCCUGUUUAUCCUCGAUUUGCAUCCUAGACAAGUGAUCGGCUACCGAGUUUUCUACUCCCUUUUUAUCUCUAAUUUCUAAGUCAAAUUCUUGGAUUAGUAGGAUCCAUCUUAUUAAUCUUGGUUUAGCAUCUUUUUUAGUGAGCAAGUAUUUUAGAGCUGCGUGAUCGGAGUAAACAAUCACCUUUGCUCCAACUAAAUAAGAUCUAAACUUGUCUAUAGCAAACACUACAGCCAACAGUUCUUUUUCAGUUGUUGCAUAAUUCAGCUGUGGUCCUGUUAGUGUUUUGCUAGCAUAAGAUAUUGCAUGAUGCUUCUUAUCUUUAGUCUGUCCUAAGACAGCACCUACAGCGUAAUCACUAGCAUCACACAUUAUCUCAAAAGGUAGCGACCAAUCAGGGGGUUGAAUGAUUGGUGCAGAGAUAAGUGCUUUCUUAAGAUAGUAAAAGGAAUCCAAGCACUCAUCAUUAAAAUCAAAGGGUGCAUCCUUAGCUAACAGGUUUGUUAAAGGUCUAGCAAUUUGAGAGAAAUCUUGUAUGAACCUUCUAUAAAAGCCUGCAUGGCCAAGAAAGCUACGGACGCCCCUAACAUUUGUGGGAGGAGGGAGCUGUUCUAUAACUUCAAUUUUAGCUCUAUCUACCUCUAUCCCACGUUCGGACACUCUAUGUCCUAACACUAUCCCUUCUCGAACCAUAAAAUGGCACUUUUCCCAGUUCAAGAUCAAGUGCUUCUCUUGGCACCUUUGUAAGACUCGGUCCAGGUUCUUUAGGCAAUCAUCAAAAGUUUUCCCAUAGACGGAGAAGUCGUCCAUGAAAACUUCCAUGAUUUCCUCGAUCAUAUCGGAGAAGAUGGACAUCAUGCACCUUUGAAAAGAGGCAGGAGCAUUGCAUAGGCCAAAAGACAUGCGCCUAUAUGCAUAUGUUCCGUAGGGGCAUGUGAAUGUAGUCUUACUUUGGUCGUCGGGAUGGAUUGGGAUUUGAUGGUAACCCGAAUACCCAUCAAGGAAGCAGAAGAAAGAGUGUUUGGCUAACCGUUCCAGCAUCUCAUCGAUGAAUGGCAACGGAAAGUGGUCUUUCUUAGUGGCCUUGUUAAGUUUUCGGUAGUCUAUGCACAUUCUCCAUCCUGUGACGGUCCGUUGAGGAAUGAGUUCAUUGUUGUCAUUUUUAACGACCGUCAUUCCUCCUUUCUUAGGAACUACUUGAACGGGGCUGACCCACUCACUGUUCGGAACAGGGUAGAUUAUGCCCGCAUGCAAUAGUUUUAAGACCUCUUUCUUCACAACUUCUCUCAUCGCAUUAUUUAGCCUUCUCUGAGGCUCCCUGGAAGGUAUAGCAUCGGGUUCGAUAGGGAUGCGAUGAGUGCAGAGUGCAGGACUAAUUCCCUUAAGGUCUUCUAACGAGUAUCCUAAGACAGAGCGGCGUUCUUCUAAGACGGUGAUGAGUUUGGUGACUUCUUCUUCUGUCAGUUGAUCACUAAUGAUUACCGGAGUCUCUCUAUCACCAUUAAGGAAGGCGUACUUAAGUCCAGAGGGAAGUGGCUUAAGUUCUAUAGAGGGUUUUGGUGGUGGUUUAGAUUCAUCCAAGUCUAAUGGUUCUUCUAAUUUGUUCUCUUCUUCUUGGAUGAAGUUUUCGGCGUCUUCUUCUAAGUCAGGCUGAGAAGUGUCCAAAAGAGAUGCCGAUAUCACCUCCUCUAUUGGGUCAGGCUCGGGCGGGGUCUCGGCUUUAGAAUUAAUAGAGCCGGCAAAAGGCAUAGAAAGGUCUAAGCCCUUCCCGAGGUUACCCUUGAAACGCCCUUCAUGAAAUCCAUUUAGGAACCUCAUGAUGGGGUGCCCGAUUAACAAGUCAACUUCUUUCAUAUCAAAGAUAAAGAAGUUUAGCAGAAUGUUGACUUUGUUAAUGGAGACAGGAAUAUUCUGUGCAAUCCCACAACUCUCGACCAUUUCCCCAGAGGGUAAUUUAAGAAAUUUGCUGGUCGGGGUUAAUGGUUCCUCGCCUAGGAGUGUCAGUACUAAUGACUUGGACAUUAGGCUUACUCCUACAGCAGGGUCAUAAAGGGAUUCUAUAGGAGUGGAGUUUAUGACACAGGGAAUGGGUGUAAAACUCGAGAGAAGUUUGAUGACAUCAGAUGAUGUCUCAGCUUCUCUAAACCAUUCAUUACUCAUAAUAGCCGUGAGUUCUUGGGCAGUUGCCCUGAGGUAACCAGCCUCAAGAUGAGCUGGGAUAUGGCUAUUCGGAGCUCUGCGUGCUGUAGAUCUCCUUUGCACAGGUUGAUUCGAGACAUUGCCAAAAUCGGCAAAUAGAUCAGUCUCGAUGUUAAGUGGGUAAUCCAAGGGAUGAAUUACUUCUUCCCUUGGAGGUGCUUGUGGUAUUGGUUCAGGUUCGACAGCUUGGGUUGCGGCUAAAGGAGUUUUGGCUGUCGAAGGUUCAUCCCUAGGAGUUCGAUCUUCCUCAGGAGCUUCAAUAUGAUCAUCAGUGUAAGGGGUAUUCUCGAGAAUAGUCCCAAGAAUGGCCUUACCUUCACUGAUAGGUAAAUGAAGGAAUGCUCCCUUAGAGGCUAAAUCAAGGAAUUGUACGGAUUGUUGGCUAAGUCCGAGGUAAAAAUGUUGCAUAAGAAUUGGCUCGGUUAUACCUAAGUCUGGGCCAGAUGAUGUUAAGUCGGUGAGACGUGCCCAGGCCGCACCUAGAGACUCCUUCCCUUCUUGCUUGAAGUCUAGGACUUCUCUACGGAGACGAGCUAUUCUAGAGAUGGGAAAGUAGGUGAGGCAGAAUUUGGCUUGCAGCUUUUCCCAUUCUCCUCCUACACUACCUGCAUAGCGAGUGUACCACCGUCUGGCCUUUCCUGUCAAAGAGAACGGAAAGAGCUUCCACUUGAGGGUAACUCGCCUCAUCCCUUGGAUGUGGAUGCAUGAACAAAGUUGUUCGAAAUCUCGUAGGUGUGUGUAAGGAUUUUCAUCUCCUUCUCCCGAAAAGGGAUUCUCCUGAACCAUCGCUACGAGACUCGGGCGAAGCUCAUAGUGACAGGCCAAAAUGGCUUUUGAUGAACUCGCUGGCUCCAACUCAGCGCCCGUUGGAGCAGCGUAAUCGAAGAGGGUUGUUUGAUCCAUUUGGAUAUGUGUAUAAAGUUUUAAAUCAAACAAAGAUAACUUAACGAUUUUUUUUGUCCUAGUUAAAACAGCUACCGUUCCCCGGCAACGGCGCCAGAAAGCUUGUUGACACCAGAAGUGGCAAACGGUUAUACCGCAAGCGUACGGUAGUCAAUGUAGCCUUCACCGGGAGUAUUCCAGGUAUCGUGAUUUCCACGGGGAACGCGAAGUGAAUUAACUAGGCUUUAGAUCGUUAGGUGAUGAUCAAAGGGUCUAGGAUAAUGGGGUAGAGAGGUCUAACUAGUAUUAAUGCCUGGUCUUUGGUAAUUAAGUAUAGUCAAGGUUUUUCACCUAACUCUUUACUGAGGGCGAUACCCGAAAAGGAGGAUUAAGUUAACGAGGUUUUUCACCUCCCCGUCUCCUAAGCGACUACCCUGCUCAGCCCAACUAUUAUUUGCAACUUGCCUACAACAGAUGCGAGGAGCUUUCCGCCUAGCGAGGACUGUCACUCUCACACUAGGUGUCUACACAACUGCGACAAGGAGUCCACACUGGCAAGAAGUAGUCUAGACACCAUGUCUAAACUAGCUCUUGCUACCCUAAGCUUAGCUAAAGCUAAGAGCACUCAAGAUCAAGCAAUGUGCCAGUAAAGGAUUCUUAUACUUAAAGUACCAGACCAAAUAUUAAAUACUAGAAAAGACUCAGAAGUAAGACUUACAAGAAGACCUGCUUCCGCUGAGGUGCUCCGCGAAGAAGACUCCCGACAGGCCGGGACUCCUCCUUGGAACUCCUCACUCUCUACUCACUAUGAUAGCACUAAGCUACUAAAGUAGUUUACUCCUAAGAUACAUGACAUUUAAGUGAAGGAAUAGGGGGGUAUUUAUAGUGGGAGAUGGAGUAGGGGCUACUCCGGUGCCACGUCAGCGAUCCGCGUCAUCUUCAUCAUGCACCAUUGGAUCAAACCGACUUCACAACCGCCAUCUGAUCAACGGUAGAGGCAAACUAACAUGUGCAACAUGUGGGCAAGGUCGGUGGGAGGCCAACCGACCCUGGAACCGCCAUGAAGUGGGGUCGGCCGACCCCCUAUCUGGCUGGUUGGGCCCACCUGCAGUGUCCUGGAGGCUCUCUGAUGUCGGUGGAGUUGAGCUGACCUGUGGGACCCACCAAAGUGGGGUCGCCCGACCCCAAUUCUAUGGGGUUAGGGUGUCAGCCCUGUCCUACAUGUCUUCCUCUUCAUGACUAUAAUGUUGUCUUGGUUACUGGUGUCACUGAUCUUUAGUUAUUCACCCCUUCUUAGUGUUUUGACCCUUGAAAAGUACCUGUUCUUACUCCUGCAACCAAAUAGUAGCAUGUACAUGUGGAACUAGGUUAUAUGUACCUAUAUUACUACUUUGUUUGGUUGUUUUCUCCGAAAAUGAGUCUUAUGUUGACGGUUAUGAUAGUAGAAAACAUGGUAUAAAUACCGUCAACAAUUACGCAAAAACGAAUCUAACGAAAUUUGAACGGAUCAAAACGGAGUUUAAACGAAGAAUAUAUGAAUUUUCUAAGAUUUUCUUUAGAAAAACAAUUAAUUAAUUUGGGUCACGGAAUUAAAAAGUUUCAAACCAAGAAAACAGUAUUACUAAUAUAUAGAUCUUUCAAAGACGAAACCAACGCAAUUUGAAUGGGUCAAAUUGGAGCUAAAACGAAUAUUUUAUGAGCAAUAUAAAACCAGUGGCAAACUUGUAAUUUUCUGAAAACGUAUUUUGAAUCUGCGCGAACGGGAAUACGCGUUCGGAAUUAGAAAACGUAUUCUGGAAAUCCGCAAGGACUGCGGGUUGACUCUUUAAAAACAUUGGGGUUUAUUUUGCAAAAGACGCGGUCGAAGGGGUAUCUUUUGAUUUGAGCCGUCGGAUCGGGGAUGGACGGCUGGAAUUAGAUUAGAGAGAGGAGGGGGAGGUUGGCCCACCGGAGAUGGGGAAGGUCGCGGCGGCGCCAUGGCCGGAGUUGGCCGGCGUUGCUCAAUCGAGCGACUCAAAGCGCUAGAACGUGAACCAAAAACACCGGGACAUGGAGAAACUUACCGCGAGCUCACCUAGGGCUAAAACAGGGGUCGAGGAGCGGUCGGAGUGCGCUUGCGACGAAGGAAGGCAGACGGUGGCUUUUGCAAAAGAUCGGCGAGGGUCAGCCGUGCACAGAACACGAAAUCGCGAGCAAAGAGUCUCGGCGACUUCGCAAACGAGAAACGAGGCUCGGCAAGGUACUCACGGGCACGAAGAUGCGUCGCAGCGACGGUUUGCUUUCAGAGCAGAUCUCGACGACGUUCUAUGGCUCGGCUACGGCUGCUGCUCGACCUAGAGUUGGGGCAGGGGGGUUUGGCGGAGCUGGGGCGCUAUUUAAGGUCCCCUCGGCGUGCGGGGCAAGCCAACCGCGAGGAUCACGCGUGGCCGGUGCGAAAUCUCCACCGAGUCCGGCUCGGUUACGAGGUGGGAGACGGAUCCGAUAGGUGGGGUCCGCCUGGCAGUGACACGGGGGGGUGGGCCAGCUCUGCAGUGGAAGAAGAGAGGGGGGAUGCUGGCGCGGGGGCUUAGCUGGGCCGCGGCCUUCUGCGCUUGGCUGGGCCGAGGGAAAGACAGGGGGGUGGGGUGUGGGCCUCGGGGCCAAAACCAAAGGGAGGGUUCUUCCCUUUUUUUUCAUUUUCUGUUUCUCUUUUCUUUUAAAACAAAACUAUUUCAAAAUAUUUUCAAAACCAAAAUUUGAAUUCCUUUUCAAUCUUUAUCCAAACCACUCACCACAAUAAAUCCAAGUGCAAGGGCAUGCAUGCUCAAACAAGUUGUUAACUCCUAUAGUAAAUUUUAAUUAAAAUAAAAAUAUUAUUUUUCCUAUAUUUCAUGGGCACAAAAAUACACAAUUUAACAAUUUAUCCUAUUUUGGAAAAUUGCAAAUUUUGGGGUGUUACACUCGAGCUCAUAGGUGGGAGACAGCUAAUACAUACUUACAAGACACUUAUUGUAUAGUCAACCCAUGGAUCCAGAAGAACAAGUCAAUAAGUCAAAUCAAGAUGUGCAUGUGUGGCGAAUGAAUGGUGAUAAUGGUGAAAAUAAUGGUGAAAGUCUAAUUCUAGUUUUUGCUCUUUUGAGGGGGUACAUACCUUUCUUGCACUUGAGGCUUUUGAGGGGAAUGAGACGCUCUAUAUUUUAUUUUUCUUUUCUCUCAGGUGGGUAUCUUGUACCCCUAAUUCUACUGUCAGACACUUGUCCAUUUUUACCUCUCGUCUCACUUUUUCUCUUUUUUUUCUUUUUUUCGAGGUUUCGGGCACUUGCCCCUUUUUAUUUCCUCUAUUCACUUUUUUUUCAGAGCACUCACCCUCCUGGAAUAAUGUAGCAAGUGGUAGUAACCAAAAUAUCUCGAGCAUUUAUUUCACGGGGAAUAACAGGGAUAGGAUAAUGUUUUUGGCUAUUCUCUCCUAAAUAGGAGUAGAAUAAUUUUGGGUGACUCUGGAUAUGGAAAUGAGUGGAUGUAUGUCGAUGCGUACUUCCGGAGUAGAAGCAUCAUGUAUGAGUGAACGUGCAAGUAAAUCUUGAUUUUAACCAUAUGACAAGCUCCUAAGGGUCUACACACCUUGACCACACUCAAUGCUCAUAAGCAGUAAAAAGUAAAUGUAUAGUUCAUAGUCUAAUAAGCAUGUAUAUAUGGCUGUGGUAGGAUUUUAAACUCUCAUCAUACAGGAACUCAUCAUGCAACAUUUUAAAGAUUUUCAAAGAUAAAAUUCUCCAGAAUUCUAGCAUCUCUAGAAACAGAUAAACAACAGCUCAACCUUACCGUAUCAUAUCCGUUAACGACUUAGACUUUAGAUCAAGUACUCUUCCCACAAGUUCAGGUUUAUAGCAAAUCUUAAUUAAUAACAGUCAUGCCUAAACUUGAGAGAGAUUUCAAUUUUGAGAACUAGUCAUGGCAGAGCAACUAUUCAUCAUUUCCAUAUGAGAGCUUAUCAUGAGGGUUCGCAAACUUUAUUUAUUUAUUUAUUUAGAAAACUAAGCAAAGAUAUAUAUAUAUAUAAGCACAAAAUAUUUAUUUGGGUUUUUAUGAUUAGUGUUGACAGUCCUUAAUGCUCACAAUUAACCAUCAAUUAAUCAUGGAAAAGGAUCCAAAUGCAACCAACACCUAGACUUAGGGUUUUAUCUGACAGAAUUCCACGAGUUUUGGUGUUUGUCUAUUUCUGCAGGGGGUUAUCGGGAAAUAAGGAAGAAAGGCCCACACGUCGGGUUUACAUAGAGAUAUUAACAUGCCGCGCAAUUUUCUAUCAUCUAGAAGACUCCAGAAGCCACGGGAACGAACGGGAAGGAAAUCGGGCUCGGAGGCAGGGCGCCCGCCCAACUCUCUUGGGCAUCAGGACACGUUUCGCGGAUUAUGCUCCACCGACCUAAAGGAUCAACGAAAACCAUGCGAUUAAUGUCAUUUUGAUCCGACGGCCCAGAUUCACUUGAAGAGACUAUAAAACCAGACUCCCUGGCCCCUGGAGAUCAUACCUCUUCUACAGAAUCAAAGUUAGGGUUUCCAUUCUUCAUCCAAGUAGAGAGGAUCCCUCUAGUUCUUCUAGUUCUACCUCUAGUUCAUCUAGAUCUAGUUCUAGUUCAUCUAGUUCUAGUUCUAGUUCCUCUAGUUCUAUUUCUAGUUAGUUCUAGUUGUAAUCUAGAAAAUAGGGAGAGAGAAGAGGAGAGCGGAGGAGCCGGAUCUGUCGGAUCUUCCUCAACAUUAUACUUUUGCAGCAUCUGGUUCGUUCUUCAUCGUUCUCCAGGUUCUUCAAUUCAUAAUUCCUGAGUUCUUUAAUUACUUUUAUUUACAUUCAAGUUAUUUAUUGGAUUCCCGCUUGCAUCAAGUGCUCUAGUCUUUAUAACGCUAGAGUAGUAAUUAAUAGAUUAGACGUGGUGUUUAGUCUUGCAAUUACCUGGAAUUGCACCCAAUCCUGCGGAUUGUUGUGGUAGCCUUAGGGUAGUGACAGCCCUAACGGUCGACGUAUUCCACCACGUUCGGAUCGGUGUUUGUAGGACCGUAGUCAGACCUUCCUAGCCCCCUUCUCAUCUCUUUCUGUUGUUAGUGCUCUGAUGUCCCGAUAUAGAUAACCUUGAAGUAAUUCUUGAUUCUUAGAUCAACUAGAGAACUCUCAGGAAACUUCCUCUCUUCCCACCAAAAAUAAUUAUAUAGUUAUCCUUGGGCGAUCUUGGAUCUUAAUUAGUACACUCACGUUCUCUGUGGAAAAUCGAUACUCUGGAAUACUCCCGGGUGAAAGCUACAUCGGUAUCCGUGCGUUUGCGGAUUUUUCUGUUUGCGUUUAAAAUACCCAACAAGCUUUCUGGCGCCGUUGCCGGGGAACGGUAGUUGUGCUAGUUUCGAACCAAGUCGUCCGUGUAUCCUGUUUCUUUUCCUUUUUUACCAUACUCACCUUACCAUUUUCACCAUACCACAUGGAUUUCACUCUAAGCAUUAAUGAGCAUGGAAUUUAUUUCAUAGCCACUUCAUUUACUCCAUGCUCAUAUGCAACAUCUUCACAAUCCAUUGGUCUCUCCAACAUCACCACAUUCGAGAUCUCCAACCCCCUCAUCCUUUUCAUUUACAAAAACUUUAAAAGGGCGGUUGUCGAUGCAUAUGUCUAUAUUAAAUAUUGCAGAUCUCGUUGAGUUGAUCUUGAUAUAGGUCAGCGUUGGAGGGGAAACCACUUCGCCGACAUAAAUUGAUGGUUUCCCAAGGACAAGCUUAGUGUCCUAAAAUAAGCACUGAUUAGAUCGUAACAUGAGCUUUGAAUUAUUUGCAAUAUUACCUUGUGUGUUGAGCAUAUAAGGAUAAUUGUAAAAAUAUUCCUUCGGGUAUUCUUGUCACUAACCUUUCUAGGAUUGGAGCAAGAAGAUCGGAUAAAUGACAAGCACAAGGUAUGUACAACCAAUCAUCGUACAACAUUGAAUUAAAUUCAUCCAAACUUGAAUUUUGCAAAAUUCAAGCUUGGGGGAGUACUUUAUAUAAAAACAUCAUUUGCCAUGUUGCUAUGUUGGUUGUCCCUACCUUUGAGACAUGCUCAAUUUGUUAAAUAGUAAUCACACUACUUCAUCUCCACUUGAGUAGAUCUCUAUAAAAGCCAUCACGCUACCUUUGUUUAUCCUAGUAAGUGUUAGUUUGGAAGUACUGUACAUACUUCUAUUGGUUUUUAAAUUAAGCAUGGUGCUUAGGUUAAACAGCCUUCCUUAAUCUAAUUAGACAUGGAGUCUAGUUUGGUUAUUGAACUAAAAACUGCUUGUGUAGACAUUGGUAUAUUUUUUUGGACUAACCCCUGUAGGAAAACUUUCAAUAUCGACCUGGGAAGUCCUGAGACAAACUCACAUUGGAGCCAAAGAGAGAGACACAUGAAGUUUAACAAUUUACACAAGGAAGGCAUAAGAGAUGAUCCAUGGAGGGUGCUACAAACACGAUGCACAACCGCUAAGAAAGGAAAGCUUCCACAAGGUCAUACUGUACCAUCACUCUUCAAGUAAGGUAACAUCUUAAAGUACUUGUCUAUCACUUUUAUAAGCUUCUCCUUGGUUCUGGCGUUCACAUGAAUAAAAGAGACAAACAUGUAUGAUUUACAACUCUAGAUUAACCAACCCAAUUAUUCAACAUGUUUAGUCCUUUAAUCUUUGUUCUUAGUACUACCUUCGUGAUCCCACACUCCUAAUCAUGUAAGAUAAAAUGUUGCACAUUCAUUCUUUGGAAGAUAUAAACAAAACAUAAAUAUAGAUAGAUUAUCUUUCCAUUAGGUUGAGCCAUCUGAUCUGACAAAUGUUUUAAAUGCUACACUCAUGAUCUUAUUAUCCAUCAACUUUGUCUUGCUCACUAUGCUUAAGGUUAGAGAAGAAUAAAUACACUUUUGGUUCUGUUGGUGUUUUCCACCAACAGAGCCCAUGCACUUGAUCUCUGCCUUUUCUCUAAGAGCAGGUACACUUUGAGCAAAAUAUGAAGGACUUUUACAACUCCCAGACUCCACCAAGUGAAGAACUUGUAUCUACGAGCACAAACACACUGGAGAUACUAGACACUCAGGCAAUCACUGCCCUGAGAUGCUUGAGGACAUAACUACUGGAGUAACCCUGUAGUGGAAGUAAUUACCGACCUUCUGCCGGUCAAGAGAGACAACCCAGGACGCCCCGUCAUCCCGAUCUCCAUCGGCAUGGUGGACUUCUUAGAAGCACUCUGCGACUUUGGCUCCAGCGUCAACAUUAUGCCCAAGCCUGCAGAUCAGACACUAAGUUUCCCAAAGGGAAUUUUGAAGAACCUCUGCGUUCGAGUUGGUACCUUGUACGGCCCAGCAAACUUCGUGGUGAUAGAGACUGGUACUGAUGAGAGGGCACCCAUCUUAGGGAGGCCAUUCCUGAACACCUCGGGAGCUGUCAUCUACGCUAGUGCUGCCAAGAUCAGUUUCUACAUCAAAGGGAGAAAUGAGACAUUUUCCUUCAAGAACAAGACUACACAAUCUCAGAGAAUUCCCGACAUGAACCAAGGAAGAGGACCAACAGGAGGAACAGGAACAAGCAAGUGUGGACCGAGUCAGCUAAGAUGGUCACUGCAGUUCAAGGAGGUCAAGAUCAUCUAUUUAAGUCACCGUUCUUGACCAAAAAGGAUGACUCAGUCACCUAUCAGCUUCUGUUAGGAACCAUGCCCUUAAAACCGACAUACACCCAGCUCCAAAUGGCAGAUCAAACAUUUCAGAAGGUUGAAGUUAUUGACAUAGGAGAAGACGAGUACGAUCCACCCAUCAUCCUUGGAAGACCGUUCCUCAACACCGUUAAAGCAAUCAUCUACAUUGGAACCGGCGGAGUCCACAUGCACUUCCCCUCUGAAAAGGUACGCCACUAUUUUACUAACCUUAACUACAUAGUUGAAGACUCUAAGCAGGUCAGGACAAGAAUACGACGACGCAACCGCAACCAGAGGAGGCAAAUCAUCAAGGACGGAUGGGUAGACUAUGAAGGAGAAGUUGUAAGGUCUGAAGACAUACAACUUGAACAGAACUGUCCUAGGAGACCGUAGCACCGAGUCAGGUGUGGAAAGAGAAAAUAGUUAUACACAAAGAGAAAGCACCGUCGGAACCACCGACUACGCCAUCCAGCGAAUCCCAGGAUGAUUCAGGAAACGGAGAGUCCCGUUCGGAGGACUUAAAAACACCGAACGUCUUGCCAAGAGGUAAACUUGGUAGUUAUCUUUCUCCUUUCAAUUAUUUAAAAUAGUUUGCUUAGUUAAUCAGGUUCACAUCAUCUUGAAAAGAAAAUAAAAAUGUUGAAGAUAGUAAGCCCCAUGUGAGUAUGCUCAUGGUAUAAAACCCAUAAGCACAUUCACUGUGGUGGCGUAAAAAUAAAAUAAAUAUAUUCCUGUCCUAUAAAAAUGAAAAUAUAAAAAUAAAUUUAUGAUCCUACUAAAGAGAGUAACAUUUAUUGAGGAGGCUCAACAUGAUAAAGGCUAAAUAUUUAUGCUAACACUUAACUAGUUCCACAAAGCUUUGUUGUCUAUUUGAGCUCCACAGAAUUCAAGGAUCAAAGAAGACUAGCAGACGGAGGACAUCCUAAUCGCUGUCAGGGUGCUGCCGACAUUCAAAUACACCUCCGCCACUUGCUAGCUAUAUCAUAAGAGAUUACGUCAAAAUCCAGCUUGGGGGAGAGCACCCCCAUUUAUCCAGCUAAGUAUUCUACUCACGUUUAUAUUUUACUCAAAUAAUAAAAAGAUGCAUAAUCAUAGAAACCCAAAUAAAGAUUUUGUGCUUAUAUAUAUCUUUGCUUAGUUUGCUAAAUAAAUAAAUAAAUAAAUAAAGUUUGCUAUGAACCCUCAUGAUAAGCUCUCACAUGGAAAUGAUGAAUAGUUGCUCUGCCAUGACUAGUUCUUAAAAUUGAAAUCUCUCUCAAGUUUAGGCAUGACUGUUAUUAAUUAAGAUUUGCUCUAAACCUAAACUUGUGGGGAGAGUACUUGAUCUAAAGUCUAAGUCGUUAACGGAUACGAUAUGGGAAGGUUGAGCUGCUGUUUAUCUGUUCCUAGAGAUGCUAGAAAUCUGGAGAAUUUUAUCUUUGAAAAUCUUUAAAUUGUUGCAUGAUGAGUUCCUGUAUGAUGAGAGUUUAAAUUCCUACCACAGCCAUAUAUACAUGCUUGCUAGACUUUGCGCCACACAUUUACUUUUUACUGCUUAUGAGCAUUGAGUGUGGUCAAGCUGUGUAGACCCUUAGGAGCUUGUCAUGUGGUUAAAAUCAAGAUUCACUUGCACGUUCACUCAUACAUGCUACUUCUACUCCGGAAGUACCAUCCACAUAUAUCCACUCACUUCCAUCUCCAAAUUCACCCAAAAUUAUUCUACUCCUAAUCCGGGAGAGAAUAGCCAAAAAUAUUUUCCUAUCCCUGUUAUUCCGUGUGAAAUACAUGCUCGAGUUAUCUUGGUUACUACCACUUGCCACAUUAUUCUAGGAGGAUGAGUGCUCUAAAAAAAAGAAAAAAAAUGAAGAAUACGAGGAAAUAAAAAGGGGCAAGUGCCCGAAACCUCGAAAGAAAAGAAAAAAAAGAAGUGAGACGAGAGGUAAAAAUGGACAAGUGUCCGACAGUAGAAUUAGGGGUACAAGAUACCCACCUGAGAGAAAAGAAAAAAAAUAUAGAGCAUCUCAUUCUCCUCAAAAAGUUUCAAAAGAGCAAGAAAGGUAUGUAUUCCCUCAAAAGAGCAAAAGUAGAAUUAGACUUUCACCAUUGUUAUCACCAUCAUCACCUUACACCAUUCAUUCGCCACACAUGCACAUCUUGAUUUGACUUAUUGACUUGUUCUUCUGGAUCCAUGGUUUGACUAUGCAAUAAAUGUCUUGUAAGUAUGUAUUAGCUGUCUCCCACCUAUGAGCUCCAGAUAUCAAAACCUUAUUAGAGUAGGGUGAGAGAGAAGGCAAUGUCACUAUGCCUCAUACUACAAAUACCACAUACUUUGAGAGAAGGCAUACACCAUUAAUGCCUUGGUAAGGAUCCAGAAAUACCAUAAAAUAGAGACUAGAGAGAGUCAUACAAGGAAUCUCUGAGUUUUAUUUGAAAAUCUGCAAAAACUCCAGAGCUAUAGCUGAUCA